AAUAAUAUAGAUAGUAUAGAGUAAGUAGAUAAAUCUCUAAACACUUCUUUUUAGAAAAGGGUUAAAAUUUCUGGUUCUUUUCUUUAUGGUAUAGAAAAAGGGGAUAUUAGGUGCCCUUUUCUUCAUUUUUGCAUUUCUUAUUAAUUUUGUAUGCCGCUAUUCUGAAGAAUUUUUUUUAGUCUUGCUUAUCCUACUUUCCUAGUUGUUCUAAGUAAUCCGCGCGGUACAAAGUUCGUGGUAGGAACUUCUUUAAGUCAUUGUAUUUUUCUGUUCAUACGAAGGAAACGAAUAUGUGAUUUUCCAAAUUGGAAAAUCGAAAUGAAGCCCUUUUUCUUCAGUCUAUCUGUAUCUUUUUGUAUAAUAUAAUAGGAAUUAAUUAGAAUAGAAUAAGUCUUUCGUUUCGUCUAGGAACAGAACCUAAAAAUAUUCCUUGACUUGAAUAAAAUCUGGAGUUGUGUUGUAUAAGUGAACAUGAAUUUAUUAUCAUUCAAUGAGCAUCUUGUAUUUCAUAGAAAUUGGGGGUUAUAUAGUCCUUACGUAAGGGCCAGCCUAUCCAACUUUCAGGCAUUAAGAUACGUUUAAGACGUGGAUGAUUAUCACAAGAAAUUCCCACCACGACCCCUGCCUCUAGCCACGACCUGUGCCCCCACCGCUUCCUCCACCUGUGCGUCACCCCUGCCUCCACCCCUCCCUCGACGCCUUCCUCGUGCUCUCGAUGCGUCUGACCGUGUACCUGACCCGGAAGCUGCAGCUUUUAAUUUUUUGUAAAGCGUUGCGAUCUUCCUCGUACCGCCCACCAUUGUUCAAUCACCUGCAUUUGCCAAGAGUAAACCAAUCAGCACAUAUAUAAACAAAACAUAAUUUCAAAAAUAACAUGGUAUGACAAAUAAUAAAUAAAUUAUUACGAUCCAUACAUGUCUUAGAAAUAAUCGUCAUGAUCGGGAUUAGCUGGAUCAUAAGUCUCAUCAUCACUGUCACGCGUGUCAAACAAAUCAUUCCCGUGCUCCGAAGUUUGAGCGUCAUCAUCAAUGUCCUGUCCUAACUGUAACCGCUGAAGUAAUUCUAACUCCUUCAUAUUAUGAACCUCCUCUCCAGCGUCAUCGUCAACAACCCUUUCAUUGUCUACUUCCAUUCCGAAAGCGUCGGUUAAAUCAAUCUCAAAAAUCCCUUCGAGCCCAUCUUCUUGGAAAAAGUCUCCGUCAUAUGUGUUGGGGUCAAUGUUGUAAUCUUCAUUCUUUGGUACAGGUAGUUUACCGUGUGGCGAUACCUUGUACACAACAUCCCAACCCUUCAGACGAUCGUCGGUUUGGCACGGGUAUGACAAAUAAUAAACUUGCGUGGCCUGUUGAGCCACAAUAUAGACAUCGUCUCCUUGUAAGACGGAUGAUUGCCGAAUUUCGACUAACCCAACAUUAGGUGCCCAUCUCACAAUUGAUGGAUCAAACCAAUGGCAUUUGAAUAUGACUGGAUUAAGAACUUUGCAACCAUGAAAAGUGAGUUCGUAUAUUUCUUCAAUUCUUCACUGUUGGGCCUAGCGUAAAAACUCCGGUAUUUGUCGUUCUUCGAUUGGGCCGACUCUGCUCAUGGCUUGUUGUGUGAAAACAAUAUCCAUUUACGUCAUAACCGGUAAAAGAUCUGACCCUGUAGGCACAACCAUCGGCAACCUGUCUCACCUCAACAUUCAUAGACGAAUCGGUUUGAGCCUGCAAGUUGAAGUAGGGUGGUUCGUUAUAUUAUUCGCAUGUACGACCAACUUGGAACGUGGAUCUACGUACGAGCGAAAUUGGAUUGUGCCUUAUGUUUGAACCAAGAAAUAAAAUCGGGCAUUCCAUUACCUGCACCCUUUUGAAGAAGGGUCUCGGCUUCGUGCGGGGUAGGUUCCCUUGAAUUACGCCAGAAUUUACGAUGAAAUUCCCUGUACCAACGAGAAACAUGAGAGUUGAUCCCAGAAUAGUGAUUAAUUGAGAACAAACUAGUUUGUUGACAACUUAUAGUAUGUAUGGCUCCACCUCGGCAAGGUUGGUCAAUACAUACAGCAUGAUAGUGCGCCACUCUUUAUGUUUCAAUUUCUUUUGUGUCGCACCACUUGCACUUCCAAGUUGUCCUCGAAAAAGGCUAAGGCUAGAUUCAACUUCUGAGUCAUUAUAACGAGCGGGUGGAUUGUGCACGCUAGGAAGGUUGUCAACAUAGUAUUUUGUUGUGAAGUUUGACACCUCCUCCAGAAUGUAUGCCUCUGCAAUGGAUGCUUCAAUUUUGCAUUUAUUUUUACAUUUAGUUCAAAGAACCUUUUGACAUCUCUCAAUUGAAUAGCACCAACGACCCUGCACAGGCCCCCCCCAUUCGUGCUUCAUACGGAAGGUGCAAAAUCAUAUGCUGCAUCGGAUUGAAGAAGCCAGGAGGAAAGAUCUUGUCCAACUUACAGAGCAACACAGACGCCAUUCUUUCCAUUUCUGCAACCACGGUCCGAGAUAAUUCCUUAGCACAAAGCUGACGGAAGAAAUUGCUCAACUCCGCUAGCACUUGCCAGACAUGAUCAGGGACAUAGCCUCGAACCAUCACCGGGAGUAGGCACUCAAGCCAUACGUGGUAAUCAUGACUUUUGAGCCCGUUGAUUCGCAUAGUAGCUAGGUUCACUCCCCUCUUCAAAUUCGCUGCAUACCCAUCAGGAAACAUUAACGUUUGGAACCAUUCUAAUACCUCCCUCUUUUGGGCCCUCGUCAGGACAAAAUCGGCCUUAGGCUUUCUCCACGACUUGCCGGCUCUAGGAGGCGUCAUGUCUAGCUUUGGUCUGUUGCAUAACCUUGCUUGAUCCACUCUAGCCUUAACGUUAUCCUUUGUCUUGUCAGGAAUGUCCAUGAUUGUACCAAAAAUUGCCUCGGCGAUGUUCUUUUCAGUGUGCAUAACAUCAAUGUUAUGUGGGAGAAGAAGAUCGUCAAAAUAGGGGAGAUUCCACAAGCAAGACUUCUGAGUCCAAGCAUGUUGCUCGCCAUAUCCCACAAAACCACCUUCAUGAUUAUUGACCUCAAGAGCGUCUAACUGAGCACGAACCAAGGCUAAGGUCAACAUCUGCGGUGGGGGGUCAUUAACUACGACAUCUUUCGUAAAGUUUCUAAUAUCUCGUCUGAAAGGAUGGUCAGGAGGAAGGAAUUGUCGAUGUUUGUCGAAGGAAGAAUACUUGCCACCCUUCGUCAACCAAAUGAACUUCACUGAAGCCUUGCAUACUGGGCAGGGGAACUUCCCGUGAACACACCAGCCACAGAAAAUACCAUAUGCCGGCAAGUCAUAUAGGGAGUAGUGGUACCAAAUAUGCAUCUUGAAGUUUGUCCUUGUAGCCCAAUCGUAUGUCCAUACCCCUUCCUCCCAUGCACGGACCAAAUCAUCAAUCAGAGGCUCCAUGUACACACUCAUAUUAUUCCCUGGGUGUUCUGGAAUUAUCAACGAUAAAAAUAUGUUUUGUCGCUGAAAGAUGACACCGGGGGGGAGAUUCAGGGGGAUAACAAACAUAGGCCAACAUGUGUACGGGGCAGCCGCCAUUCCAUAUGGAUUGAACCCAUCUGUUGCGAGCGCAACACGUACAUUACGAGCCUCUCGAGCUUUCUCAUCAUAAAUGGCAUCAAACUUUGUCCAGGCUUCACCAUCGGAUGGAUGUACCAGCUUGUCAGCAUUGUAUCGACGUCCGUUUUUAUGCCAUGUCAUUUGUUUCACGGAAUCUUCACACAUGUACAGCUGUUGGAUCCUCGGUAUGAAGGGAAGGUACCGUAGGAUCUUCAUAGGGAUUGCAAGCUGCUUCUUCUGACCGUCACCAGAGUCUACCUCCAGGAACCUAGAUGAUUCGCACUUCACACAGUACUUGGCUUCCGCAUAUUCAUUCCUAAAUAAGAUGCAUCCCUUCGGGCAAGCAUGUAUCUGCUCGUAUGGCAUCUUAAGUGCACGAAGAAGUUUUUGUGCCUCAUACAUAGACUUUGGCAAGAUGUGACCCUCCAGGAGCAGGCUCCCAAAAACUGUCAACAUAAUAUCGAAGGCGUCUCGACUCAAGCUAAACUGGGACUUCACGGCCAUUAGACGUGCAAUGACAUCCAGUUGAGAGACCUUGGUAUGCCCGUGAAGGGGUUGCUGUGCCGCAGACAACAUGUCGUAAUACGCCUUUGCGGUAGCCUCGGGCUCCUCCUCCCUACGAGCUUCAUGAUAGUCAUCUAACAUGUCUCCCACCCCGGCGUCAUCAUCAUAUUGCUCGAUACGUUGUCUGAUGACCUCGUCCCUCCCACGAUCGACCUCACCAUGGUAGAUGCAUAUGGUAUAUAGUCUGACGUAAAUCCGUGCCUAACAAGAUGUUUACCCAUUCCUAACUUGGUUUGCCGACGCAUGUUUCCACAUUUGCUACACGGACACCAAGUAUCUCUUCCUCCUUUGAUUCUUGCAAAUGCCCGUUCCAAGAAAGCAUCGGUCUUGUUUAUCCAUUCAUCGGUCAACGAAUUCUGACUAGAUCGGCCCGUGUACAUCCACUGACGAUCCUCCAUCCUCUAGCAUACCAGCAAGUAAUAUAAAAACUCAAGUUGCAUCUACACGUUCCUAUACUGUCUAUUAGGUGAAGAUAGGUCCUAAUCCCACACGAGGAUGUGUAGGUGGGAUUAGUUUCCAUGGUUUUGCGCGCACUGUUACCAUAAGUGUGUGGUANNNNNNNNNNNNNNNNNNNNNNNNNNNNNNNNNNNNNNNNNNNNNNNNNNNNNNNNNNNNNNNNNNNNNNNNNNNNNNNNNNNNNNNNNNNNNNNNNNNNUUUUGACACGAUUUUGACCAAGUAUAUUAGAAAAAGGUCACUAAAAUACGUUAUUUCAUGCAACGUGCGCCGAGGAUAUGUUGAACCACUCGGCAAAAAUCAUAUCUUGGAAUUUUUCCCGGGGCCCUCGGCUAACGAGUUGCACAAACCCACAUACUUCGGCCUCGCCCCCCCAGAAACCGCGCCGGGCAUGUACUUUGCCGAGUGCCAGAUCGGGGGCACUCGGCAAAGCCUUACUAUUUGCCGAGUGCUCAGAUCUACGGCACUCGGCAAAGUUAAGUUGGAAUUUUUUAUUUGAAGCGAGGCCGAAGGUAGUGGGCCCGUGCAACUAGUUUGCCGAGUGCACCGAGAAAACACUCGGCAAACUAUCAUUUUUGCCGAGUGUUUCCUACAGACACUCGGCAAACGUUACAUGAAAUAACGUAUUUUAGUGACCUUUUUCUAAUAUACUUGGUCAAAAUCGUGUCAAAAUCACUCAAAAUUUGUUAAAUUAGUUUUCUACUGAUAUUAUUCCAUUAUUUCAUGCAGUUAUAGCUCAAAUUGCAUUUAUAUAUAAUAAAAAUCUAUAAUUGCAUUUAAUCAAUAAAAAAUAUCAAACGCAUCCGAAAAAUUUCCAAAUUUUGACAUGAACCAAUCUGUGUUGUAUGUUGCCUAUACAAAAAGAUUUGAAGCCACUCCUUAAUUCAAGUGUCACUUGGACACCAAAUCUUAUUGGCUCCUUUCUAACUUCUAUGAAUCCUUCCAGGAGAUUAGUCGGUUUCUAAGGGUGCGUUUGGUUGCGAGGAGGAAGUGGGAUGGGACGGGACGAUCCCACUUCGUCCCGCGUUUGGUUGGAGGACAGGUGGGACGGGGACAUCCCUACGAGGGAAUAUACCCUCCAGAUGCGGGAUGCCCCCGUCCCACCAAAACGAGCGGACGGGGGCAUCCCACUUCGCCCCCGUCACGCGCCGUCCAUCCGCACCGGUGGAGGGGACGAGUUUGGGCGGCGGGAGCUGCCGGCUGAGGCGCCGGCGCGGGCGAGCUCCGCCGCGACCGGCGGACGGGAGCUCCACCGCAGCCGGCGCGGGCGAGCGCGGCCGGCGGGCGGGAGCUCCACCGCGGCCGGCGCGGGCGAGCGCGGCCAGCGGGCGCGGAGGGACCGGCGUGGGCUCGCGCGGCCGCGGCCAGCAGAGGCGAGCAGGGCCGGCUGGCGGGGGCGAGCACGGCCGCGGCCGGCGCGGGCUCGCGCGGCCGGCGAUCGCGGCCGUGGCCGGCGCAGGUGAGCGGGGCCGGCGGGCGCGAGCUCCACCGCGGCCGGCCGGUGGAGGAAGAAGAUACCUGUUAGUAUGAUAGGUGGGCCCCAUGAACGGUGUUAACAGAAGAAGAAAACGGUGCUCGUCCCGUCUAUAGCGAUCUCUCCAACCAAACAAAAAAUUAGGACGGACCCAUCCCAUUCAACCAAACAAGAAAUGGGGUCAUCCCAUCCCGAAAAACUGGAACGGGACCGUCCCGUUCUACAUUGUCUCCCAACCAAACGCACCCUAAGCAUCAUAUGUCAGAAAUUGGGCGAAACGUUCUCAAUUUUUUACCACAGCCUCCACACAUAAUAUCAUGACAUCUUGACAAAUCUUGUGAUUUUCAGAUUUCGUUUGAUUUUUUUACAAUUUAACAACCAUUGAACCACAGGUUCGUGGUCAUGUUUUUUAAAAACAAUGUUCAAAAUUUCUUUUCAUUUUCUGGUUGAGACCUCAAUCCGGUCUCUAUAAUAUGAAUAUGAUUUUUUCACUGAUUUCAAUCCAUUAUUUCAAGUACUCGCAGUUAAAAUUUGACUUCAAUCAAAAAAUACCUAUUAAUGCAAACAAAGCAUUAAAAAUCCCAAACAGACCCGAAAAUAGAUCAACUUUUAAUAUGCAUAACCAAAUGUCCUACGUGGGGAGUAGAAAACGUGUGGAAGUUGUUGGAGGGAAAUUUUUGUUUUUGUUGCCGAGUGCCGACAAAAACACUCGGCGAAGUGUUGUGUUUGCCGAGUGCCUUUGGGCCGGCACUCGACAAAGUGUUGAGUUUGCCGAGUGUCCGGACGAGGCACUCGGCGAAGUUUUCAGUGUGCCGAGUGUGUGCCAGUGGCACUCGGCGAACGCCUCUUUGCCGAGUGUCGAACGGCAAGCACUCGGCAAAGGUCUAACGGCCGGCCCAACCCGGUAACGGACGACGCACGUGCGACACACGCGCUGUUGAUUUACCGAGUGUGGCUUAUUUGCCGAGUGUCCAGGAGUUGUUUGCCGAGUGCCUGUUUUUUGGCACUCGGCAAACCUCCUAUUUGCCGAGUGUAUUAUGUUCGCCGAGCGCCUCAUUGUAUACACUCGGCAAAGACUGUGUUUGCCGAGUGCCCGAAAAAAUACACUCGGCACACGUUUUACACUCGGCGAAUUUACUGUUUCCGGUAGUGUAUCCUCGUGGCACCCAUGUCAGAAAGCAGAGAGGAAUACGUUCCGUCAGCACGUGUCCCAAAGAAAAUUUAGUUGAAAUUAUUAGCUACUCCAUAACUCGCAAUGUUGCAAUAGAGGAAAAACAUGACACAGAUGUGUAACGACAGUCAAUAUCCUCUUUAUUAAUUCGUUUUUGGUUCUCAUCAAUCAUGAGCAAACAGUAUUUACCAGCCAGAAGCAUCGACGCACAUGGUAAGUGGAACCAGUGGUGCUGUGCUGCCUCGGCGGCUCGGCGCACGCAAUGGGAGGAUGCUCAUUCAGUGCAAUUUCCCUGGUCCUGGCUGGCACAGAGACAAUACAGACGGCAUCACUAGCUUCAUUCACCGCCAGUGGCGGAGCUAGCCACGAGCUGAAGAGGGGGCCAAAAUACUCAAAACUUUUCUUACACAGUAGAUGAUCAUCUAAAGUAGUUACUUCUUUAUAAUCGCAAGUUUGCAAUCAUGAGCAUGUACCAAGUAAAAUGAUGUGCUACUAGUUCCUCUUAGUGUUAACAUGCUUCAGGUGAUAGUAUUGCUUGCUUGUGCUAAUGGAUUGCAACCAUCUACUAAUGAAAAACUUCACAGGCAAUGCAAGGGGGGCCGUGGCCCACUUUGGACCCCACGUAGCUCCGCCUAUGUUCACCGCAUCAGGAUCCCACACAUAUCGUGGUUCGAAGGUGCGUGCAAGAGAAGAUAUCGAAGAAUGCUCAAUCUCUAUUCAUUUUUCCAACUAGUAAAGUGCACGUGCGGCACGCACGUAUUUUUAAAAAAAUUUAGUAAAAAUGCUUAACUCGUAACACAAUUUUAUUUCAUCUACUUUAGGAAGCUUAAUUUGAAAAAGUUCAUCCAAAUAUAAAGUAUAAGGUUCAUCUAAUGGCUUUUCAAAGGCUUGUGUAUUAGUUUUUUAAAACGAAUUAUAACUUCCGUUAAGCAACAAUCGAUCCAGGCAUAUCACCCGUUACUAAUUCGUAUAUAAACUCCAGGGCUUUGUUCAGUACCAUCUCAAAAUCAGAGUAUCUAUUGCCACAAAACCCCAACCCUAUCCAUCUCCUUGGGAGAAAAAAAGCUGCAUCAAUAUUGAUCUGUUAUGUUCCCUCAUCCAGUGGACUCCAUUUAGCUUGGGUCUAAGUCUGUUUUCUCUCGCAAUCAGACUUCGUUCCAAAUUCUAGUAGGUGAUAUGUUACUCAGGAACUUCACAAAUUCUCUCCCCAGUAUUGCUUUAUUUCUUGCCGAUCACCAUCUCCAAAGAAAGAUACUCACUUUCAGUUGCAGAUCCCACCAGGUCACAGAGCACAUGUUAAUAUUCAGUUAAUGUCAAGAUAGUGUCUGAAAUAUAACUACAUUUCCCAGAUCUUGAAAUCUUCAAAUUUCUCUAUGUAUUAGCUCUGCAUUAUUUGCUUAUCAGCUACAACAAUGACUUCCAAACUUAGAAACGAAAAGUUGUAGUAUCUGAAUCACCAAGCCGAUCCACAUCACCAUAUGGAAAAAUUUGCACGUACAAGCCUCAUGCAAGUCUCUACAUGGCUAUAUGCUCAUACAUCGCUAAGCUAGUUGUUCAAAUACCACACAAAGUAGCAAUCAGUUGGCAAGUAUUUUUUUAAUGCAAUUUCACAGUAGUAUAAAUCUGGAAGUGCUUCGCAGCAAAUAAUCACUAUAUUUAUUUAUUUUCUUUGCCUCAACUGCGUAGCAGAAUAAUCAUCUAGAAUGAUGCAUGUCCUAACUUCACUGGAGAAACAAAAAAAUAGACUGACAUGAUCUUACCAGAUUGACAAUUCAGUCUCAAAGAAGUAUUACAGUACAUCAUGCAUGUAAAACCAAUUGUAAGGUCAUACUUACUCUGGUGUGGACAUGCACCAAGCGCAUAGAGAGGAGCUGCAAUAAACCCUAUAAUAAAUCAAACAAGGAGGGCCCUGGCUAUGAUUGUGAGAAAAGGUUCACCAACGAGGAGGCUGAUGUGCCUGCAACCUUUAGGAAGUAUAAUCAAGAACAUAGGAACGACAACCAAAUGCACCAAUACAAUUAAAUUGCACAAGCUCAUAAAUGAAUUAUCGAGUUAUUGAUCAAUUACAGCAGGCAUAGAAAUAUAUAAGAAAAUAUUCUGAUGUAAAGCAUUGUCACGAUAUGCCAAACCACAGUCAUAUAUAUUUCUGCAGGAGUAUAUAGCCUAAUUCUUCUAUAUCCCUCUCAGGUAAAAUCGUGGAUUUAUUGUUGGAAAAUGCAAACAAGGGUGUGGACGCAUGCAUUGUGUCUUGUUAUCAGCAGAGCUAUGAUACUCAAAGUUCAGCUCACCGUAUUUUGGAAAAAAAUUCAGAGAAGGAAAAUACAGACAGAAAAAAAUAGGAACGGUGGCUCAACUUUCCUCUCCUUGCCAGGGAUGAGAUCAUAAGACUUAAUCGAUCUAAUGGUGGUUUAUUACACUAAUCAUCUGUGGUAGUGAGGAGACACAAAACAUUAUUUGGGUGUAAAACUAAGCAUGUGCUGGUAAGAGGAACUGGUACUGAUCUUUUCGUGAUUUCAUCCAUGCCACCUCAUACACACGACACGAGCUCAUCUUAGCAACCAUGAACGCCGCAGCCAGAAGCCAGCCGUGAUCGUAGAAAGUUAGCAGGGCGAUGGCCAAUGGCGUCGAAAAGGUGCUGAAAAUAGAAAACAUUCGAAUUGUAAACUCUAGACAAAAGGACAUCAAGAAUAGCGUGGAGGGCCUGACCUUGCCUUCAAUUUACUGCAAUGUCGGCCUGCUCUUUGCCGAUGUGCCGGCAAGGUGAACUUGGAGGCAUCUAUGUGCGUUGGGUAGGAUCGGCAAACCGGACGUGGAGGUCUAUGUCUUGGAGGCGUCAACCGGCAAUGGCUGCCAAUUAUCACCGAAUACGGUUUGGAGGUGCACAGCAAUGGCUGCCCGAAAGGAGAUGUCGUUCUUGAUGUGAUUCAAGUAGAAGAAAACAAUAUUAUGACAUGAUUCACCAACCAGAAGGAAAAGGAAACAAAUGACAGGAUUUCAAGCAAAAGGAAACAACGUGAAUAAGCUUCCUUUCAUCGUAAUUAACAUGCAUAGGUGUGGACGUAGGAUGAUCUCGUGAGAAAAAAUCAUGAACAAAAAAUCUGGAUGCAAAAUUAGGGGGCAGGACGACCAUGUAAGCACCAAACAUGGCAAGCGAAGGGGGUACGGUGAUCUGGAUGCAAAAUUAACGGGGUGGGAUGAGGUGGGUACGCAUGUGGGUAGAAUUCGUUUUUACGGUGAAAAAAGAAACGGCAAAAAGGCAGAACCAUUUUAGAAAGUGCUGUUUUUACCCCUUCUCAAAACUUUAGUACCCCUCCAGACCUAUCAAGUGGGUCCUUUUGUGAGGGGUACGGGUGUAACUCUGAGUGAGGUUUUGGAUCUUUAUAGAUUAUUGUACAUGAGAGUUGCACACGUACGUGGUCGUUGCACGCCAUUUUUUGGGAUUCUUUUCCAAUUGCAAUGACCUUGGGAUUCGUCGUCCAAGCGUCCGAAACCAACGGACUCCAUGAGGAAGGGCUAUCAAGAGAUCUGGUCUUCUACGGUGUGGCUGUAAAAACGAAACGCUGAUAAAUUAUAUAGGGGGUACAAAUAUAGAUGACCGUACCAUGGGGAAAUGCAUACAUAACUUACAGAAUCCGUCAAGGAAAACAAAUAUAAUCUGGGAAUGUUUUUUUAGUAGGAAGAGAGGACUUGUAUGCAUCUGUUUCAUGUGUUUCAUGUGCAUGUAUAGUGUGGUACGUCGACAUCUUUAGCUUUAUGCUUGCAUGCAAUUUUAUUGCUUGGAUCCUUAUUAGACCCGGCCCCAUAAUAUAAUGUGGACAUAUUAUUGAGGACAAUAAUGCGUUGAUGUAGUGUGUAAGGCCUUAGCCUUAUUCUCUUCGAGCUCAAAGCCAGACACACGCUCUUUCUUGCUUGCUUUUACUCUUAUAUAUCUUUAAAGUUUUGACAAAAGAAGAACAUUUUAACUACACCAAGGUUUAGAGUUAAGGGUUCAUGCAUGUAGAUUAAUUCUAACUUCAUAAGUUUGAACGAACCACUACGAUUUAGGCUCUGUGAUAUAAAAGUGGUAUUGUUAUAUAUGUUUCGUUGUUGCACUAUUUUUUGAAGUGGCGACGUGACGCUUGUUCGCCAUUUCCUAUUACUGUUAAAACUACAAUUUGUACCAUGUCUUGGUUACCAACUUCGAUGGUAAAAGAAAACAGAGGUUUGCAGAUAAGCUAUAUUGUACCAAAUAAAUGCAGCUGAACUAGAAAUGGGGUUAUUCUGUCCCUCUUGUGCAUACCACAUUUCUUUGCGGAGAAUAUCAGAAAUUAAACUCUUUCUCUCAAUAGAUCGGGGUUGCUCAUUCACCAUGUUUCUUGUGAUUACGCUCGUAAGCAAAACGGUCAGCUGAAAGAAAGCAUAAUCGUAUCGUUGGAACAGGACUUCUCUUUUAGCUAACGCUCUAUGCCUCUUCGAGGUGAAGCCUAGAAAAGUGAUGAAUUAUCAAACUCCCAUGGAGCAUCUUCACUCUAAGAACCCCAACUAUUCAUCUCUUCAUGUCUUUGGUUGUUCUUGUUGGCCAUGUUUAAUUACGUCAUUGUAAUCAAGGUUUACAUCUCUUCUUAGUACAUAUUAAAAAUAUAAUUGUAUUGAUCUUGCUUGUCAAGAUUGGUAGAAUCGGAAUCCCCUGUUCUAGAACAUUGUAAAAAGGUUCAAGUGGAGUUUGUAUCUUGUAGUCUAGGCAACUACAUAUCCUAGUUUACUAGUCAAAUUCUUGCUGCUGUAGCUGUAAGCCACGCAUGAGGAUGAGCGCUCUUCCCAGCUCAUGUAAACACAAGGUGGCCUCUAACGAGACAGAGACGCUUCACCCAACUUAAUUAAAUGCGCAUAUGCGCAAUUGCACUAUAUAAACGACCCCAAGCAGCAUGCUGCAGCCGUGCCAAAACUGAAGCCUAAACAAACAGGUUCAAUAGCUUUUAUUUGAUCUGUAAUUCUGUAUACAGCUAGGCCUCCCGUAGACGACGUAGCUACAGCAGUAGGUAAUUGUCGGCGAUGGGCAGCUUGCCACUCGACGCGUCACUACGUCCACUGGACCCCGAGGCCUUCUCCGGCGAGUCACGCGCCGUCGUGGACUUCCUCGCCGAGUACUACCGCGGCGUCGACAAGUACCCGGUCCGGGCGGCCGACCUCGAGCCGGGCCUGCUACGCAAGCUGCUCCCCGGGGCGGCGCCGGAGCACGGCGAGCCGUUGGAGGACGUACUGGAGGACGUGCGGCGGGACAUCCUGCCGGGGCUCACCCACUGGCAGAGCCCCAACUUCUUCGCCUACUUCCCCAUGAACGCCAGUGCCGCCGGGUUCGCCGGCGAGAUGCUGUCCGUCGGCCUCAACGUCGUCCCAUUCGUGUGGGCCGCGUCGCCGGCCGCAGCCGAGCUUGAGGCCGUCGUGGUGGACUGGAUGGGUAAGCUGCUCGGGCUGCCGCAGCGGUUACUCUUCUCGGGCGGUGGCGGCGGCGUCCUGCAGGGGAGCACGUGCGAGGCCGUGGUGUGCACGCUCGCCGCCGCGCGGGACCGCGCGAUGGCCAAGCUGGGGCACGAGGCCAUCACGAAGCUUGUUGUCUACGCCUCCGACCAGACGCACGCCACGUUCCAGAAGGGCGCGCGGCUUGUCGGCAUCCCCGCCGUCCAACUUCCGCGUCAUCCCGACGUCGGCGUCCUCCGGGUACGGACUGACCGCCGACGCCGUUCGCGCCGCCGUCUAAUCGUGACGUCGCCAGCGGCCUUGUGCCCCUGUACCUCUGUGCCACGGUGGGCACAACGGGGCUUCGGCGCGGCCCGACCCCGUUGCGCGGCGGAGGAGGCGCGGCGCCACGGCAUGUGGCUGCACGUCGACGCCGCGUACGCGGCAGCGCGGCCAUCUGCCUGAGUUCCAGGGCUACCUCGACGGCGCCGAGCUCGCGGACUCGGUAAGCAUGAACCCGCACAAGUGGUUCCUCACCAACACGGACUGCUGCUGCCUGUGGGUGGCGAGCCCCCGUGCCCUAACCUCCGCGCUGUCCACCGAUCCGGAGUACCUCAAGAACGUGGGCACGAACGGCACGGGGAAGCCGGCCGCCAUAGACUACAAGGACUGGCAGAUCUCCAUGUCGCGCCGGUUCCGCGCCAUCAAGCUCUGGGUCGUGCUGCGGCGCUACGGAGCCGACGGCCUACGCGCGCACGUUCGCCGACACGUCGCAGCAGCCAAGUGGUUCGAGCAGACGGUGGCUGCGGACGAGCGCUUCGAGGUGGUGGUUCCGAGGAGGUUCUCUCUCGUAUGCUUCCGACUCCGGCCAAGGUCCGUGGGAGACGAGGCGGCGGUGAACAACGUGAACCGGAAGCUCCUCGCGGCGUUGAACGAGAGCGGGCGGGCGUUCAUGACGCACUUCGUGGUGGACGGCAAGUUCAUGAUCCGCCUCGCCGUCGGCGGUUCCAUGACCGACAUGCAGCACGUUAUGGACGUGUGGGAACUGCUGCAGGACCAGGCCGACCACGUUUUGCGUCGAUUCUAGGGGCCUAGAUCUCCACGCACACAGUUGCCCGCAACAACCAGAUUGCACGUCCACGCACAUGUUAUUAUUGUUUUAGCUCUCCUUGUUUUGGGCAUUCGACGUUUGUGCACAUCUUUUUUGUUUUUUUAGCCCUUCUUUUAAAGAUGGAAGUAACAUUUCAAAAUCUGGACCCUUAGCUCGGUGCCAUCAUUGGUGGCGCCAAGCUUACAUAUCUCGGCGCCAGAGGGUUUGGUGCGUAGAUCGUAGCACCGUUGGCAACGUGGACGCUGACAUGGCAGCCAGCUUGGCACCAUCCACCCUGUUGGCAAGCUUGGCGCCGUAGAUCUUGACGCCAAGCUCGGCGCCAUAGAUCGACGCCAAGCUAUUACCCUAUAACUCCUGGCGUUUGAAAUGAAACAACUAUAAUUGUUCAGAGGAGCAUGCAACAACCACAUUGUGAUUCAACUGGUUAGAACGCAUGCACCUUAUCCCAAAAACUUAGGUUCGAACCCCAGCACUGAAUCUAAGCCAGGGCGAAAAAAAGAUUCAACACUAGGGUUUGAACCCAAGCCUUUGGGAUAAGGUGCAUGUGUCCUAACUAGCUGAACCGCAGUGUGGUUGUUGCAUGCUCCUCGGAACAAUUAUACUUGUUUCAUUUCGAACGCCAGGAGCUAUAGGAUAACAGCUUGGCGCCAAGAUCUACGGCGGCAAGCUUGGCGCUAGGGUGGAUGGCGCCAAGCUAGCUGCCAUGUCAGCGUCCAUGUCGCCAACGGCUAGGUCGCCAAACCCUCUGACGCCGAGACAUGUAAGCUUGGCGCCACCAAUGAUGGUGCUGAGUUAAGGGUUUAGAUUUUUAAAUGUUACCUCCAAGGAUCUCCAAGGAUCUAUUUGUAAGAAUCUUUCAAAAAAGGGUUAAAAACAAAAAAGACGGGUGCACGUGUAAGUGUAUGUUGGGAAUGCUCAACACAUAAUAUCAAUAAUUUCUGAAGGUUCUUUAAUUUUAUUUAAGUGGCCGAGGUAUUGCUUCUCUUUACAAUAUCUUAUUAUCUGGCUAGAGUUUUCUAGUCUACUUUGAACAUUCUUUGAGCAAGAAACAAAAAGAAGCAACCAAGAAUCCUGAACCAACAUUUCCAAGAAAAAUCACUGUCGGCAACAUUUUCUUUUAUUUUUCAAUUCUUUUUUCAUGAACCAAUCAAUGCCAAUCUCUUCGUGAUGCAUGCAUUUCUCAUUAGUUACUAGUAAGUUGCUUUGGCCCAUGGUUCAUUUCAAUUUUAGUUAGUAAAUAAACAAUGAAAAACCAGCCUUGUAAAACCUAUAUUUUUCCCUUCUGCUUAAGUAAACUGAUUUAUAUUAAUUUUAUUGGAGGUCCCCUACCUCUGAGAAUGAUGCACUAUCAAGAGACUGACUAUAUACAACUAGCAAUUGGGCUGUGCAGAUCUGGCAAGGCAUGACCCGUUCUUCUUACCAAGCGCUGCUUCUAGGCGAGACUACCUACGCAAGGAACAGGCGAGAAUGCUAGGCAUGCUAGGCACAUCGAGCAAAGCCUACACGACCCGACAAGCCUUUGCCUUGGCCCAACCAUGGCCCAUAGCACAAGCCGCUGCGAGCCAUGCCAGCCCAUGCACAACCCUCGGGUACAAACUGCAUCAUAUUCUUAGCCUGCUUGCCAAUUCAUGUAAUCGACCACCACCGCUGGUAUUGAAAACUACUCGUUAGCAUCGAGAAGAGCAUCAGCAACGUCAGCGCCCUGCUCUUCAUGCAACACCAUUUGUUGUGACUUGAUGGUAUUUACGCUUAAAAAAUAUGAAAUUGAACAGGCAAAUAUAGAGUAGAAACAGCCAUGGUUCAAUCGAAUUUUCACGAAUUUCAUGCUUUUCAUCGGGGAGCGGAAAAAAUAAUUAUCGGUAUGUUUGGUUUGAAUUAAUUUUUGUUAUAUACAACGCAUAAGUGUAGCUGCACUAAAAGCAAGGGUUAAUUGGAUAUGUACCAUUACAAUUUGCAAGUUUUUACACACACUACUACUGUUUGAUUCAUAGGAUGCAGGCCAUUACAAUUUCGCAGUAGUUUGAAACAUGCCAUUUUGUAUGCCCGGGACGUUGUUGGACCCACCUGCAGGCGUACGGUUACUGUGAGGAAUCUCGUAUGAUCGGAAUUGCCCCUGUCCGAAGCGUCUACUACCCGGCAGCUGCUCCAUUCCCCCGAUGCACUCUCACCGUCCCCGUCCCCUGACCCUAGCGCCGUGACUGGAGGCGAAUUGAACUGGAGCGAGCAGUCAAUCAAUGGCGCUGGAUUGAAUCGAAGGCCCGCGCAUUGGUGAUUGUGGAAGGGCACCGCGCAGAUGGAAGGCGACACGGUCAGGUACGCCCACUUAGAUGUAGCAUGAGUAGUGUAGUCGAUUUCAUAGGGUUGUAGUCGAUUUGUGCGAUAGGAGGGCAUGGGUUGCGGCGGGGUAGGGUGAAUUUCAGUUUGGCCCAUUGGAUUGACUUGGAUUGAUGUGCGUUUUCUGGUUAUGGGGUUCUUGAGAUGUUAGUUUAGAGAUAAAACUUCAAACACAUCAAUCCAAACUAAAAGGAUAGAGUGUCUGUAGAUGCUUCAGAGCCUAGUAUAUUUUACAAUGAGGAGUAUAUUGGUGUCAAUGAUGAACACUUGCUUACCACUGUUCCUCCAUCUCAACCACCCCCACUAGCUGACUAUGAUGAACCUGAUGAUGUGGCUGCUGAAGGAGCUAAUCCUCCUGAGGCAGAGGUUGAUGAUGCAAAUCCAGAUGACAUAAGGGUUCUGCAUGACCAUGAGAAUUCAAGAAUAAAGGUUGGUGCCUUGUUUCCUAACAUAGUGACAUUCAGGAAGGCAGUGAGGCACUUUGCCAUGAAGACUGGUUUUGAGUUUGCAAAAGGUAUAAAGACAGAUAAAACAAGAUUCAUUGCAAGUGUGCUGCUAAGGGAUGUCCAUGGCGCAUUCAUGCAUCAAGGAAAAAUGGAUUUAUGAUGACAGAACAAUUGAGGUAGGGUACUAUGCCUAAAGUUUCAGUUGUCAUAUAUCCAUACAUUUAUUGAUUCUAAUGCUAUGUUUGAUUCAUAUUUGUUUUGUAGAUUAAAAAACUUCCUGGUGAACACAAUUGUCCUGCUACAAGGCUAAGGGAAGGAAAAAUGGCAACUCAGAAUUGGGUGGCAGAUAGGCUGACUGAUUGGCUCAAGUGGCUCAAGAAGAAUCCAGACAAGCAACCUAAGGAGGCAAAGGAGAAAGUGGAGGGAGAUUAUGGGAUUAAAUUGAAAUAUUCCAAGGCAUACUUAGGUAUGAAGCUAGCCCUGCAGCGGAUACAUGGUAAAUAUGAACAGUGUUUUCAAAUGUUGUUCAAUUGGAAAGCCCAAAUGGAGAUUAGCUCUCGAAGAAGUAUUGUAGAGAUAGAGUUGAAGAAGGUAGGCAAGAAGAUAUGCUUUAGGAGGAUGUUUUUAGCUCUAAAGCCCAGUAUAGAUGGAUUUCUUGUUGGUUGUAGACCUUUUAUUGGAGUUGAUGCACCUUGUCUGAAUAGGAAGUACAUUGGACAGUUAGCAUCAGCCAUAUCAAUAGACAGCCACAACUAGUUGUAUCCUGUAGCAUUUGCAAUUUUUUACUCAGAAAUAGAGAAUAAUUGGAAAUGGUUUAUGGAGCAGUUGCAUAGGGCUGUGGUUUCUCCAAAAGGACUAGUCAUAUGCACUAAUGCCUAUAAAGGUUUAGAAACUGUUGUGGGGGCUGUUUUCCCUGAAGCUAAAUAUAGGGAGUGUAUGAGGCAUCUGUUGACGCCAGAUUUCGUCACUAGUAAAAUCGGCGCCAAGAAGAGAGGGAAUCGGAGAAGCACAGUUGGGAAUCGGUCGAAUGGUGCUACAGUGCGAGAUCGGCCGAUGACUUUUGUCUCGCUUCGGGUCGAACGUGCCGGAAUCCCAAUCGGUUGCCUUUUGCCGAUAAGGAAUCGGCCGAUUUGGAGGUUGGUUUAAUUGGGCCUGUAUGGGCUUGGAAAGGCAUAAAAGGAUAGGGGGGAAAUCAGCCCACGAAGCGUGGAGUAACCAACUUAGCACGAAUCGUGCUUGUAAAUAUUCAUUUUCUGUUUGAAUUAGGGAUAGAAUUCUAAUCGGUUAAGAAGUCAUCUGUACGGGGCUAUAAAUAGCUACCUUUGUAAAUCUGUAAUCAUCAACAAAUCAAUACAACAACCUAAUUUUUCCUCGUACUUACUUUCAAGCAGACGACUUCGUCAACACUUUUCUCUUUUUCACGAGUUCGUGCGGGUUGGCAGGGCUGCAUCAGUUUGAUCUCCGGCCGAUUCUGUAAGUUCCGCUUAUCGAGUAAUAUCUAAGCUUUAACUUCGGGCGUAUCGCUGUUGUUUCGUUUAGAUUUAUUCACUAGUUAUUGAUAUUUUCUAGAAUCAUAGGUUUUACCUAUUUUUCUAGUUUUUAUCACUAGUUAUCCAGCUAGGAUUCGGUAGUUUCGGCACUCUUUAUGUUCUGUUAUUAAAUUCAUCUAUUGCCGAUUAGAUCUAUUCCUAGUGUUGUUAUCAUAGCUUUGCGUCGAUUGCUCCAGUAGUUUUCUGUCUACAAGGCUACAGUGAUCGGCUGUCUCAUAGCCAAUUUCUUUAUUAAGGCAAAUCGGCCGAUUCGCUGAUAAGCUCUCUCGAGAUCGGAAAUUUAGCCGAUCGUGAUCUUUGAACCUGACACGUAUUCUUCCUUGCCAAUCAACAGGUCAGAUUGGCUGGCACGCCGCGCGAACCGCACCAGGGCAAUCACCCGAACAGGAGCUGAGCAGAUUCUCCCGGGUCGUGUGUCGGACGCUGGGAUUCGGUUGACCGAUUUCUAGCGCCAACACACUUUUGGCACGCCCAGUGGGACCAAUACAACCGCCAUCAUGUCGAAAGCUGCUGAAGUCUCCGAAGAUAACGUCAUCGAGGUGACGGAAGCAGAUCUGAAGGACGACCAGAAGGAAGAGCUGGAUAAGUAUACGGCGCAGUUCCGGAAAGCUUGCCUACAGUCCUUCAGUCGCUCCAGAAGCGGGGAGACUAUCAAGAAGACUCCGUUCCCUGCUCCCCGCCAGAUCACGAUUUCUGAGGACUCGGACAAAAUGUCCGAUAUGAUCCAAUAGUCCAUUUAUCACGCCUUCAUUGAUCAGUCCCCAGUACUUUCAAAUAUGGUGCACAACGCUGUUGUCAACUCCUUCGCUGGUGGGAUACCUCAAGGAUAUAGGGGACCGGCAUAUUUUCAGCCGAUUCCACCAAACCAGAAUUAUUCGAAUUCGGUUUCACAGCCGAUCCAACUUUCUGUCGGGGGUUCAGGUGCUUCCUCAUUGUCAGCUCUUAUGGGGUAUAACUCCAUCCAACUGUCUUCUGCACCGUUCCCUCCAGUUAGCCCAUCACCCUGGGGGGCACCUUCAGCCACGGCCGGUCAGAAUCAAUCGGCCAGUCAAGGAAACCCUCCCUUCCAGGCAUCCUUCCAGGCGGCCAUUCGGCCGACCGUACCGCCAUACCAGCCUGUCGCUCCGGAGGUCAACAAGACAGCAGAGCUCAUGCUAUAUGAUGAAACGAGUGGCUCAUUCAAAUAGCCGACCUUUACUACACAGCCGGCUUUCACUCAGAUACCACCUGCCUUCAAUCAGCCUCCGUUUAUUCCACCUCCGGUUUACUAGCACGUGCCAAUACCUCAGCCAACGAUUCACCAGCAACAGCCAGAUUGGUCGGCACGUAUUGCAGAGGUAAUGCAAGAACAAUUCAGCUUGAAGUCGAAAGUACAAACUUAUACCUACAGAACACCAUACCCAUCUACAUAUGACCUAUUGCCGUUCCCCCAUCGGUAUAAGGUUCCUGAUUUCACUAAAUUUUCGGGGAUGGAUGACACUUCGACCGUAGAACACGUGAACAGAUUCAUCAUCCAAUGCGGAGAGGCAGCCACGCAGGAUGCCCUACGGGUACGGUUGUUCUCAUCAUCUUUGUCUGGUUCGGCCUUUCAGUGGUUCACGACAUUGCCGCCAAACUCAAUUAUCACAUGGGCUGAUUUAGAAAGACAGUUCCAUAAAUACUUCUACGCCGGGGUGCAUGAGAUGAAGCUGUCCGAUUUGACCAGCCUCAGGCAAAGAAGUGACGAGCUGAUAUCCUCGUAUAUACAGAGGUUUCGGGAAAUCAGAAACAAGUGCUUCUCCCUGGCUCUAAACGACGCGCAGUUGGCCGAUAUAGCUUUUCAAGGCCUUCUGCCCCACAUCAAAGAAAGAUACACCUCACAGGAGUUCGAGAGUUUGAGCCAGAUUAUCCACCGAUUGUCUGGACAGGAGGUACGUUCCUUCGAUCCACGGAGGAAUUUCCAGAAGAAAGUGGCGUUCCUAGAAGAGUUAGAAGAUGAAGAAGAUGUUGAAGUCGGACUUGCGGAGUGGAUCAAGGGGAAGAAGCCGAUAUCAUGCCCAUUCGGCAAAAAGGAGCCAGAGGUGUUCGGCUUUGACACGACUAAGGCCGAUAAAAUCUUCGACCUUCUCCUCCAGGAAGGACAGAUUAAACUCUCGCCAUAUCAUACAAUACCUUCUGCCGAACAACUAAAAACGAUGAAGUACUGCAAGUGGCACAACGCCACAUCCCAUGAUACUAAUGAGUGCAAAAUCUUCAGGCAGCAGAUACAGUCGGCCAUUGAGCAGGGCAGACUUAAAUUUGAAGUGCCGACAAAAUCGGCCAAGCCAAUGAAGAUCGACCAGCACCCCUUCCCCACCAACAUGGUUGAUACGGGAAAGAAUUCACUCCAAACAAAAGUGCUGACGUCCGAAUCGGCUAAAAAGAGUGGCGCCGUCGACCCUAGAAAUCAAGCUACGCCUGAAGAUGUCAAGGGGAAGCGGCGGAUGGAGGAUGACGAUGGCGAAUCAGAAGAGCCACGCAUUACUUCCCAGUUCCUGCUCCAGAAAUACCAACGUCAGCAUGAGCGCUCAAGGUCCCGGGAAGAAGCAAUGCGAAGGCACAAAGAUCACUGGAGGUGCCCAUUCUUCAUCCACUGUUGGGAAAACAACCUCAGGCUACCUUCGGCCGAUAAUUGCCCAGAAUGCAACGGUCCAUAUCGUGGCAAUCGGCCGUUCAACAGGUCUCUCUCCAGAGACGGAAGGCCAGAACCGAUCAGCAGGAAUUGGCGCAACCAAGAUGACCAGCGCCCUCCCGUGCGUGAUCGGCUGGGGGGCAGAAGUGACCGAUAUGAUCGGUCGGAAGAUAGACGCCAUGACAGGCAGGGGGGCAGCACUGAUCGGCAUGACCGGUCAGAAAACAAGGCCAACAUUCACAGCCGGCUCGAAGAGAUGGCCGAUGCUCGGGUGACAGACGAAAACCCGUUAGGACGCGAACCGGAGUGGGAACGCGCCAAGUCAGGGGGCAGACCAAUAAACCCCAGGUGGUGUCCCGAUGGAUUGACCAAGUCUCAAAAACGAAGAAUCCAACAUCUCCGCCAAUGGGAACAGCAAGAAGGGGAAAGCACGACGGACAAGAAGGAAGGAAGGCCUCGGGUGUGGCGCCCCAAGAGAAACGAUAAAGGAGACGACGAGUCGGCGGGUGACGAAUCGGCAGCCGAAAUCGGCAUGGUUUUUAUACUACCGAUGGAAUUCAUGACUCCCGCCGAUCAACAGGAUAUAUCGGCGAUAGAAGAACAGACGGCACAGUUGGCUUUGGAGCCAAUGAUGGCCACGUUCGAGAAGCCCGAAGAUAACGAACGACAACACAUGAAGGCGCUGUUCCUUAAAGGGCAUGUUGACGGCCGCCCCCUCACUAGACUGAUGGUAGACGGAGGAGCUGCAGUCAACAUCAUGCCGUACGCCGUACUCCGGAAGCUUGGGAAAAGCGACGACGACUUGACCAAGACGGACAUGAUACUCAAGGACUUCGAGGGCAACGUGUCAAACGCUCGCGGCGCUCUCUGCGUCGACCUCACCAUCGGCAGUAAGACCCUUCCUACCACCUUCUUUAUUAUUAAUGGUAAGGGAUCCUACAACAUGCUACUCGGCCGGGACUGGAUACACGCAAACUGCUGCAUCCCGUCAACAAUGCAUCAAUGCCUCGUGCAAUGGGUCGGCGAUAACAUCGAGGUGGUCAACGCCGAUUCCGCGUACAGCAUCGCGGCAGCCGACACGCAGCAGUGGAGCUGCGAAACCGUCAGGUGCAUAUCCGACAGAGUAUGGGAGACCGAUUUCCUGAAGGUCACCGAUUUUGGCCUACAGCCGAUCCGAGCAGUCGGCUCCGAAGACUCAGAGUAGAUGGAUCAGUUCGCCCGAGAAGAUGGGAAGCUAGGGCACGGGUUCACGUCGGCCGAUUCAUUAGAGAUGAUAGUCUUAGGCGAUGGUACCAAACCAAGGCCGACUUAUAUUAGUGCAAAUUUAGACCCAGAAUACAAGUGUAAAUUGACAAAUUUGUUAAAAGAAUUUAAGGAUUGUUUUGCUUGGGAGUAUCACGAGAUGCCCGGUUUAGACCGAUCUAUUGUUGAACAUCGGCUACCCAUAAAACUAGGGUAUCGGCCGUACCAACAGCCCGCACGGCGUUGCAAUCCUAAGAUUCUACCAGACAUAAAAGCCAAAAUAACUCGGCUAAUCGAAGCAAAAUUUAUUCGGCAAUGCCGUUAUGCCGAGUGGAUCUCCAACAUCGUACCAGUGUACAAGAAAAAUGGAAAGUUACGCGUUUGCGUUGAUUUCAGGAAUCUUAAUCAGGCCACACCGAUGGAUGGCUACCCCAUGCCGACGGCCGAUGUACUGAUCGACGCUGCCGCGGGGCACAAGAUUAUUAGCUUCAUGGACGGAAACGCUGGGUACAAUCAAAUACUUAUGGCCGAAGAGGAUAUAUCCAAAACAGCCUUCAGAUGCCCAGGUCACCUUGGCUUGUUCGAGUGGGUGGUGAUGACUUUUGGCUUGAAGAACGCUGGCGCUACAUAUCAGAGAGCCAUGAAUUACAUAUUUCACAAACUCAUUGGCAUUCUGGUAGAGAUCUACAUCGAUGAUGUUGUAGUCAAGUCCAAAGGUCACGAAGAGCAUCUGGCCGAUUUACGAAGAGUGCUAGAGUGUACCAAGAAACACGGUCUUAAGAUGAAUCCCAAUAAAUGUGCUUUCGGCGUAUCUGCCGAACAGUUCUUAGGAUUCAUGGUACACGAACGAGGGAUAGAAAUCAAUCGGAAGACCAUAGCGGCCAUCAAUAAGGUCGUGGCCCCGCAGAACAAAAUCGAACUGCAGUCUUUAAUCGGCAAAGUGAAUUUCAUCAGAAGAUUCAUAUCUAAUCUAUCUGGGCGGAUUCAGGCGUUCACACCACUGUUGAAGUUAAAACCUGACCAGGAAUUUAUAUGGGGAGAGGAGCAGCGCAAAGCACUGGAAGAUAUCAAGCAAUAUUUGGUCUCGCCACCAGUGUUGGUUCCUCCUCAAACUGGUAAACCUUUUAAGCUAUACUUAUCAGCCGAUGAAAAAGCUAUUGGGUCGGCUCUAGUCCAGGAGUUCGAAGGCAAGGAACGAGUAAUUUAUUAUGUCAGUAGAAGACUUCUGGACGCUGAAACAAGAUACCCUCCGGUGGAGCGUUUGUGCCUAUGUCUUUACUUCUCAUGCACCAAACUCAGACACUAUCUACUGUCGGCAGAAUGCGUGGUCGUAUGCAAAGACGACGUAGUAAAAUACAUGCUAUCGCUGCCGAUCUUGAAGGGACGAAUCGGCAAAUGGAUCUUAGCGCUGUCAGAGUUCGACCUGCGGUAUGAAUCGGCAAAAGCCGUCAAGAGUCAGGUUACGGCCGAUUUCGUCGCUCACCACUGCGGACCGGAGAUUGCCCUCGUAGAGCCAGCACCUUGGACAUUAUAUGGGUUAUCAUGUGGGGUCGGAUCAGGAAUCGGCAUCGUUCUCAUAUCGCCUCGGGGGGCAAGCUAUGAUUUUUCUCUGCCGAUAGAAACCGCCGCUACUAACAAUCAAGCGGAGUACCGAGCUGUAUUAAAGGGCCUACAACUAUUAAGGGAAGUCAAGGCCGAUUCUGUUGAAAUCUUCGGAGACUCCAUGCUUAUUGUGGAUCAACUGACCGGAAGGUCCGAAUGCAAAGACGACGUAUUAAGAAUUUAUUACGAAGAUUGCUUACAGCUUUUAAAAGAAUUCAGAUCGGCAGUAAUCGAGCACAUCCCAAGAGACCGCAACGAAGGUGCCAACAAACUCGCCCAACACGCAUCUGGAUAUCGGCCAAUUCUAGGCGCUAUGGCUCUAGAACUCACGGCCGAUGACUGGCGUAAGGAAAUUGCCGACUACCUGAAGGAUCCGUCUAAAAAGGUGGAACGAUGAACACGUUUUCAUGCUACUAAAUACGUACUGCUCGAAGACGACCUGUUCUACUGAACGGUCGAUGGAGUUCUUCUCAAAUGCCUUGGGACAGAGGAGGCCAAGACUCUAAUGGGAGAAAUCCAUGAAGGGGUAUGUGGAGCACACCAAUCGGCCCAUAAGAUGAAAUGGAUGAUCAGGAAUAAUGGGUACUACUGGCCAACGAUCCUCGAAGACUGUUUCAAAUAUUAUAAGGGUUGUCAGGAUUGUCAAAAGUUCGGAAAUGUCCAACGUGCACCCGCAUCGGCCAUGAAUCCUAUCAUUAAGCCAUGGCCGUUCAGGGGAUGGGGAAUAGACCUUAUCGGCCAAAUUUACCCACCAUCAAGCAAAGGGCACAAAUUUAUUCUGGUGGCUACUGAUUACUUUACCAAAUGGGUAGAGGCAAUUCCGUUAAGAGCCGUGACAUCAUCUAUCAUGGCCGACUUCGUAAGGGAUCACAUCGUCUACCGAUUCGGCAUUCCUCAGACUAUAACGACCGAUCAAGGAACAAUGUUCACAUCGGGGGAAUUCGAGGAAUUUACGACCGAUAUGGGGAUCAAAUUGUUGAAUUCUUCUCCGUAUUAUGCCCAAGCCAAUGGGCAGGCCGAAUCCUCCAACAAAGGGAUAAUCAAGUUAAUCAAAAGGAAAAUCGAAGAACAGCCAAAGAAGUGGCAUCUAUGUUUGACUGAAGCCUUAUGGGCAUACAGGAUGGCUUGUCAUGGGGCUACUAAGUUAUCUCCCUAUCAGUUGGUGUACGGUCACGAUGCAGUGUUACCAUGGGAAUCAAGGGCGGGAUCGAGGCGCAUUUCGCUCCAGGACCAGUUAACGGCCGAGGACUACUGUCACUUAUGAAAAGGGAACUUGAUGAUUUGGCUGGCCAACGAUUGAGGGCUCUGAUAAGCAUUGAAGAAAACAAAAAGAAAGUAGCCAGGUGGUACGAUAAGAAGGUCAAAGUCAAACAAUUCUCCCCUGGGGACUUAGUAUGGAAGUUAGUAUUGCCGAUUGGGUCGAAAGAUCCUAAAUUCGGAAAAUGGUCCCCUACAUGGGAAGCGCCGUAUAGAAUCAGCAGAUGUGCUCCAGGGAAUGCUUACAUCUUGGAAACAAUAGAGGGAGAAGAAUUUACUAGAGCUUUGAACGGAAGGUAUUUAAAAAGAUACUACCCCAGUAUAUGGGUCGGAGCAUAAGGGAUUAAUUGUAAUACAAUCACACAUAGCCGAUACAAAACGGUUCGAAUACAUAGUCGUCCAAAUCGGCCGAUGUAUUCAUUCGGUACGGGCGAUGGGUUACACGGCCGACAAAACACGAGUCGCCCUUAGAACAAAAAAUACAAAUAACUAAUUGUUCUUCUUCUUGUGCGCCUUCCCAGUCCGAUCCAACUCGUUCAUGAUGCGGAGGUAUGCUUCUUCUAUUUCUUUCAUUGAAGCCUCCGCUUCAACUUGACGAGGGAGAGGAUGGCUCCGAUCCAUGGGCGGGCGCGAAGUUCCCGCCGCCGCGUCUUCAAGGACGACUCGCGGAGGAAGCGGAUGGCUCCUGUCGGUUGGAGAGUGCCGGCCACCAUUACUCUCCACAAACUCCAGGACCACACGAGCCUCCGCAGUGACGUGGUCUCGAAGUUCAUCACGAUGAGCCCUGAUCAGCUCCAUAUCCUCUGACGACAAUGGGUCCUCAGAGUGUAUGAGCUCAAUGGCACGAAUGAGCUCGGGGCUAAGACGUUGGGGCUGAAACAAAGAAAGGUUAAAAAAGGGCAUCCUCUUCCUAAGAUCUAAAAGGAGAAAGGGGAGUCAAACCCAAGGUUUCACCUGGUUGACAGAAGAGGAAGAAGUCGAUGAAGACAUGACAGAAAAACGCGCCGACGAGAGGAGCAAGAGAAUAAGACCGAAAGCCAAAUUGGUGCUUUCAGAAGGAAGUGCCAAGGCCGGUACUUAUAAGAAAAAGAGGCGUGGAAAUUUGGUAAGGAUACGUCCCAUCAGAAAUAAGAAAGGCAAUAAAUAGGAAGGGCGUCGCGAAAGACGGUCAAAGCAGAUAGUAAAUGUUCGUACAAAAUAGUCAGUGUUUUACAGAUUACCCAGAAGGGUAUCGAUAGCUGUGAUUGCCCGACGCCGGAUCUGAUCGGCAGAGUCAAGGACCCGUUGGUCUUCAUCCGCCGAUCCGGGGACUUCUGAUGCACUACGGUGGAGUUUUAGGGCCUCGUGGGCAAAGCGCUGCCUCUCCCGUGUCAAAUCGGCAAUGACAGAAGGGAGUUCUUGGAGCCUUUUCUCUUCGGCACUGAUUGCCUUGGUCACUUGCUCCAUCUCCUUGGCGAGCUCCGCCCUUCGACGUUUGAGGCGGUCUAUCUCACCGAUGAUCCCCGGGCGGGAGUCCUCCAGAAAAUGGAUACGCCGGUGUGCCUCUUGAGCUUGACGCUUGAACGCGUCCUCCUCUUCGCGAGUCUUGGCCAGCUUGGCGCGAUCGGCCAUGUGACGAAGGGCUCUGAAGACCGGGAUCCUCAUAGACUCAAUGAAUGCCGCCGGCGCCAAGGCUUCCUCCGCCUCUUCUGGUACUCGCCCGCUGACGUCGCCGAUGAGCUGCCGAAUCGGUGAAGCAUCUUCGACUAAUCGGCCGAUGUCCCCUUGAAGGAGGGUUCGGAUACUAGCAAGUUUGGCUCGGACGUCGUCAGGAAUGGAGCUCAAGGCGACUUGGUGGGAAGCAACUUCUUCAUCGUCGGAGAGGGCAACCGCAAAAGAGAAGAGGCUGUUGUCGGGGGUGUCUUGUUCCUGAAGAUAAUAAAAAGGAAAAAUGAAUUGGCUGGGAGUAAGAGAAAAUCGGCUGAGCAAAGCCGGAAUGUAACUUACCACUUUGAAACGAAUUUCUUCGUGUUGCAUUUGGGAAGCCGUCAACCUUGCUUAGGGGCUUGCGCCAUGGGUUCGUCAGAAGAGGAAGACUCCACAACGAUCGGUGCGGUGCUUGGACCAGCUCCCUGAGAAAGGACCGGUGGUUGGGGAGCGCUUGGUGUGCCGAUGACCUGUGUCAGAGAAUUGAAUAAGUAUAUUAUGCAAAUAUCAGGGAAAAUUGGCGAAAUAGUGCUAUACCUCAACGGACGGAAGUGGGGGCGCGUCAAUGGCCGACUGGGCUGUUGCCGAUUGUUGAGUGUCCAUGGGAAUACUCUGUACAGUCUAAGAUAAGGAGGGUUAAUAUCAGAACAGCAAUCGGGAGAAAUGAAGCUUGGGUUUACCCGAAUGGCCUCUAACAACAAUGAUGCGGCGGCUGCCCCAGCUUGUGCGACGGCUUGGGUAUCGGCAUCUUGGAUGACCUGAGAGGGUGGUGCGGCCGGAGUCUCUGCCGAUACAAGCACAGGAGGAUCCGCCGAUUCUAUACGAGCUCGGACUCGGCAACUGGUCUUCUUGGUGAUCCUCUUCUGGACUUGUUUCGAUCGACCGGCAAUCACGUCUACGGACGGAGCAUCAUAGCCGAUGAGAGGAUAAGUGGUGUAUGGAUGAUGAUGCUCUAUUAUCCGACCACUCCGACUGUGUGUUGGGGGCGUGCGAUUCUCGACCUGAAAAAAUAAGUAGAACCAUUAGUAUUCAAUCACGUUAAGAGGAGUAAAAAUGGGCUAAGGAAAAUACCUCGGCGUUCGGGUCGAUGUUGGCUGGAUCCAGGAGGUUGCAGUAUGCCAAUGCCGAAUUGCAGAAGAGAAAUUGCUUCCAAUCGGCCCACCAGAGUUUGAACGGCUGGACAGCAAAGGGGGCUACUAGCCAGUUGUUCAGGUCAAUGGUACUGGAGUCCGGAAUCCAGUCUCGUAACCGACUGUAAUCCAGACCAGAUGUGAGCUCAUCUCUAAACUUGAUUCGGCCAGCAAAAUACACUUGAAUCGGCAGCUGACCCAUGCCGAACUGACGUGCUGCAACGGAAGGGUUGUAGAACUCAUACGUAGGGGCAUCCUUCCCCGAGAAGAAGUUGGCUGGCAAGAUUCCUGGCUUGAUUAACUCAUCAUAGAGCUCUUCAUCAAAUCGGCCAGUGGUCGAAUCAAAGCAGGUUGGGAGUUCAAAGACCGGGUCAUCCCGCUGAUAAGGAAACCAAAUGGUUGCAUCUUCAUUAAAGCCGUUAUAGAAGCAUCGAAAGUACUCGGCUACCUUUGUAGCAGAAUAUGUGCAACCUGGGAAAGCUGAUGCCGCUUCACCAAAGGACAUGCAUCGGCGACGUUCGGUAGGGUCUUCUGCCGAUUCGAUGUUGGGGAACAUCAUAUGGUCCACCCUCUGCUGAGUGAUCUCGCUCAUGUAAAGGUUCAGCCACAAGUUGAUGAACCACCAGGGUCCGCCUGGAUUUCCGAUCGGCUCUCCCUUGGAUAGUCUGAUGCCGAUUUGAUGGAGCAUGUGGUACGCCGCCCCUAGCAAAUGUUUCCCAAGAGGGACAUGGUUUCCCCUGGACAGUGCUUCAGCUAAAGCCUGGGUAUUGGUUGACGGGCCGGCGGCUCUUCCACAAAAGAAAUGUUUUUCUAACCACAUCAUCAAGAAGGCCGUAUGCUCCCUAUUCUCAACAGACCCGGUUCUUUUAUUGCUUCUGAUGAAUCCCUUCCACCCGCCGAUUCCCCUUGUGUCCAGCCGAUGUGACGUUGCGGCUAAAAGGUGGAAAGGUGUGUCCGGGGAAGAAAUGUCAAGGCCGGUCAACAGGACCACAUCGGCCAGUGUUGGGGUCAUAGGUCCGUGCCCGAAUAAGAUGGCAUUAAGUGCAUCAGACCAAAAGUAAGAAGCCGCUAUUACUAACGGCUCAUUUUUCUCCAUCUGGGACAAGGACAGGUUGAUGCACUGGCCGAUUUUGAGCUCUUCCCAUGAGAUGCUCUUCGACGCGGCUACCCGUUGGUACCACUCCCUCCAACCUGGGGUUUCAUUCGGCCAGGACCUAAAAGUACCCAACCAUUGAUCUAAGUCCAUGUCGGACAGUUUGAAGGGUAUCCUGUGGGUUUCCAAAUUAAUAAGCUCUAUUGGAUCUGGGUUCCCCAUAGGUCCGAGACAAACAAGGCCGGGAUUUCCCGUAAGAUGGAUGGUAAUGCGAUGCCUAACUACCUAAAAAAGGAAAGGGGAGUGUAAAAAGUAAGAAACAGAUCUAAAGUAAAUGCAUUGCCGAUAGAAGAAGGAUUCGGUAUUUGCCUCUGGAAUGAAGUUCUGAGUGAUCAGCGUGGUCGCCGGUGCAGAUGCGGACGAUGGGGCCGCGAUGGGGAUCGCCAUUGGGAUCUCCGAUAAAGCUUCUUCUUCCGUGGAUGGAGCAAUGGCCGUCGCCACUACCGCCGGAGGCGCUACUUCUGGAACGUCGCGCGCUGGAGAGCUGCCGGAAGGAGCCGCCAUUAGAAGAGAAGGGGAAAAGUAACAGGAGGAUGGCGCUAGAAGGCUUCGGCGACAAGGGAAAGAUGCUGAAGAAAGAAGAGGGCGCGCGCGCUGGGAAAGAGAGACGUGAGCUUGAAGAUGAAGUGCGGGGUGAAGCGCUAUUUAAAGGAUGCCUGAAGGAGGGUAAAAACGGAAUUUUCACCGCGCCGGCGUUUCGAGUUUUUUGGGAGUAGUGGCUGUCGUGGGCGCCCGUUUCGAAAAGAUUGCAAUCAUCAGCUGGAAGACCGCGAAACGGAAGGAUAUUUUCACUGCGGCCGUUUCGGAGGGGAGGUUAUAAAGAAUUUCGAAGUAAAAGACUAUGUUUUACUCCGAAACUGGGGGGCAUGUGUUGACGCCAGAUUUCGUCACUAGUAAAAUCGGCGCCAAGAAGAGAGGGAAUCGGAGAAGCACAGUUGGGAAUCAGUCGAAUGGUGCUACAGUGCGAGAUCAGCCGAUGACUUUUGUCUCGCUUCGGGUCGAACGUGCCGGAAUCCCAAUCGGUUGCCUUUUGCCGAUAAGGAAUCGGCCGAUUUGGAGGUUGGUUUAAUUGGGCCUGUAUGGGCUUGGAAAGGCAUAAAAGGAUAGGGGGGAAAUCAGCCCACGAAGCGUGGAGUAACCAACUUAGCACGAAUCGUGCUUGUAAAUAUUCGUUUUCUGUUUGAAUUAGGGAUAGAAUUCUAAUCGGUUAAGAAGUCAUCUGUACGGGGCUAUAAAUAGCUACCUUUGUAAAUCUGUAAUCAUCAACAAAUCAAUACAACAACCUACUUUUUCCUCGUACUUACUUUCAAGCAGACGACUUCGUCAACACUUUUCUCUUUUUCACGAGUUCGUGCGGGUUGGCAGGGCUGCAUCAGUUUGAUCUCCGGCCGAUUCUGUAAGUUCCGCUUAUCGAGUAAUAUCUAAGCUUUAACUUCGGGCGUAUCGCUGUUGUUUCGUUUAGAUUUAUUCACUAGUUAUCGAUAUUUUCUAGAAUCAUAGGUUUUACCUGUUUUUCUAGUUUUUAUCACUAGUUAUCCAGCUAGGAAUCGGUAGUUUCGGCACUCUUUAUGUUCUGUUAUUAAAUUCAUCUAUUGCUGAUUAGAUCUAUUCCUAGUGUUGUUAUCAUAGCUUUGCGUCGAUUGCUCCAGUAGUUUUCUGUCUACAAGGCUACAGUGAUCGGCUGUCUCAUAGCCGAUUUCUUUAUUAAGGCAAAUCGGCCGAUUCGCUGAUAAGCUCUCUCGAGAUCGGAAAUUUAGCCGAUCAUGAUCUUUGAACCUGACACGUAUUCUUCCUUGCCAAUCAACAGGUCAGAUUGGCUGGCACGCCGCGCGAACUGCACCAGGGCAAUCACCCGAACAGGAGCUAAGCAGAUUCUCCCGGGUCGUGUGUCGGACGCUGGGAUUCGGUUGACCGAUUUCUAGCGCCAACAGCAUCUGUAUGGGAAUUUCAUGGAGCACUAUCAGGGGGAUGUGUUCAAGGAACACCUUUAUCCAGCUGCUAGAAGCUACACUGAAGGGUUGUUCAAGUGGCACAUGCACCAAAUUGCAGAGUUUGCUCCAGAAGCUAUAAAAUACCUUGAUGAGCACCAUAGUAGGAUCUGGUACAGGGCUGGUUUCUCUGAAGAAAGUAAAUGUGAUUAUCUAACCAACAAUGUAUCAGAGAGCUUCAACAGCUAGGUGAAGUCACUUAAAGGGCUACUAUUGCAUGAGCUAGUGGAUGGUCUUAGAGAGAUGAUCAUGGAGAAGAUGUACCUCAGAAGAAAGAUUGGGAGAGAAAUGUAUAGCGGAAUAUUGCCAGGUGUUGGAUUUAUAGCCCGGCAGUCCACCUAGGGGGUACCCCAGAUGGUUGAUUUGUAGGCAUGGAGGAUCGCAAGACCAUGAACUUGAUGGUAACGCAAGGCACAAGAUAUAGAGAUUUAUACAGGUUUAGGCCUCCGGAGAGUAAUACCAUACGUCCUGUUUUGGAGAUUGUAUUGCACCCUGCGCUCGAGUGUUGGUUGUUGUGUUGAGGGAUUGGCUGUCCUCCUAGUGGUACCCCUACCUCCCCUUAUAUACUCCGAGGGGUAGGAUUACAUGGCAGGACCCCUAGCCGGUUACUAUAGAUGAGAUCUAGUCGGAUUACAACUUCUUGUGGGGAGCCCUAGAUUCUGCCUUCUUCAUCAAGUUGGGCCGGCCCAUUAGUGGUCAGCUGGACCCUCCAUGAGGGUACCUAGGUAUCCAUAACUGUCAAGCCCCCGAGCGGUGUGGAGUUGACCGGCAGCCUGAUGCGAAUGCUAAGUUGCAUAAGCUUCGCCUAAGUGCUUUUGUCGUCUGGUUGCCGAGAAGAUGUGCAGUGCUCAAAGAAAAAUCCUUGAUCUUGUAGUCUUCGUCUUGAGAAAACACCAUGGACACACGUCUAGUGAGAUCCCGCGUCCAACUCCCAAGCCUGGGAGCCGGCUGAGCUGCGGAAGCGCAUCGCGUCGCCUCCCGCACCCAGCCCUCAAGCCUGGGAGGUUGGCCUGGUGGUAGGAGGCACGUCGAGUCGUCUGUGGCACCCAGCCCCCGAGCCUGGGAGCCGGUCGAGCGGCAGUAGGCACACCGAUUCACCUCCCACACCCAGCCCCUAAGCCUGGGAGGUCAGCCGGGUGGCAGGAGGCAUACCGAUUCGUCUGUAGCGUCCGUCCCUCGAGCUUGGGAGCCAGCCAAGUCGCCUCCCGCACCUAGCCCCUAGGUGUCGUUCGAGCCGCGGAAGCACGCCAAGUCACCUCUUACCCUGAGCCUGAGAGGUCAGCCGAGCGGCAGUAGGCACGCCGAAUCACCUCCUGCACCCAGCCCCCGAGCUUGGGAGGUCAGCCGAGUGGCAGGAGGCUCGCCUAGUAGUUUCUGAGCUGUAAAAGGGCAAUGCAAACAUUAUGUAGCACAACAUAGAAUAUUUAAUAAUUGAAUAACUCGGAAGUUUAAUUAGCGUAAAAGUAAAUUCUUACGCGUCCUGCUCUUGUAGGCUAUAUAAUUUCCCCGAGUAGUUAGCCCAUUACGUUUAAGCACCUGACCCUGUUGGGGUGUUGCUAAGAGCGGGCUAGAGCGUGCUUAGCAGGAAGCAACACAUGAGGGCUAGGCUUCACAGAUUAAGGCGUGUACUAUCCGAGUACUUUAGCAACCAUUAGAGACACAGACAAGCCGCAAAGUAGUCGAAAUUGUGCGGAAAAGUGAGAGCAUGCACUAGGCACUCGUAGGGCACAGCCCCAACUGCCCGUGUAGUGGACGGACCAAGCUGUAUAAGCAAUCGGGGUGUGACCGAGGUGGUCGGCAGAAGUCACGGAGAUAUAGAGAAGCCGAGGCAUAUGAAGGUAUACGAAAGCCAUAAAUAUUUAAUUGAAUAUAUGACUUAGCUUGAUUCAUGGUCGAAUCGGAGAACCCACAUGUCGUCUUCGUGUUUAGGAUUAAGGAGCCCCCGGGCGUUGUCUUAGUUUGUCGUGGUUGGCGGAGAGUUGAUGAAGCGUGGUUGCGGUUAAGGACAUUGUCGUCGAGUCACCAAGCUUGAUUGAUGCCGAGUUGCUUGCCAUGUUGUCGUUCCAUGCAUGCAUCCAUGCAUGCGUAGUAUGUAACGUGCGUUAGAGGAAAAAGGAGAUUAACAUAAUCUUAGUUGACCACAAAAAUAAAAGAGCUCCUAGAUUGAAUAUAGAACAAUAAUAUAAAAGAAAGAGAAUCUUCCCUGACAUACGCACGUAUCCUAAUCCAUCCAAUACGCAUACUAUGCGCCAAAGUCAAUAUUGCCGAAUCACCUGUGUACCGAGGUUGGGGUCGAUACUUGCCGACGACUCCAGGUUGCAUCCAGGGCACCGCGCCUGGAGGUCGGCAUGUAGUGGAGAAGCGACAGUACAGGGACCCACACCGCCAUGCUAGAUUGAUGGGACCAGCAACUGAGCGGAACAAAUCUCACUGAGUUGCCAAAUCAGCCUGAUGACGCGACGACAUAGAUGUAAGUGGUGAUAAAUCUGCCAUCAAGCUCGCUAAGAGGAUCCAACGAUCACCCCUACCUGGCACGCCAACUGUUAGAUUUAUAGCCCGGCAGUCCGCCUAGGGGGUACCCAGAUGGUUGAUUUGUACACCGGGAGGAUCGCAAGGCCAUGAACUUGAUGGUAACGCAAGGCACAAGAUACAGAGAUUUAUACAGAUUCGGGCCUCCGGAGAGUAAUACCCUACAUCCUGUUUUGGAGGAUUAUAUUGCACCUUGCGCUCGGAUGUUGGUUGUUGUGUUGAGGGAUUGGUUGUCCUCCUAGGGGUACCCCUACCUACCCUUAUAUACUCCGAGGGGUAGGGUUACAUGGCAGGACUCCUAGUCGGUUACUAUAGAUGAGAUCUAGUCGAAUUACAACUGCUUGUAGGGAGCCCUAGAUUGUGCCUUCUUCAUCAAGUUGGGCCGGCCCAUUAGUGGUUGGCUGGACCCUCCAUGAGAGUACCCAUGUAUCCAUAACUAUCACCAGGUGUUAUAAAAGAGCUGAAUCUGAUCAGCAAAAACUUGAAAGUGGUCGAGGUUUCAAGAAGUGAUGACACAUUUGCUGAAGUAACUUUACUUGAUGAUUGGAACAACACCAUGCGCCACACAGUUGACCUUGAGAACAAAAAGUGCUCAUGUAGGCCCUGGCAAUUGACUGGCAAACCCUGCAAACAUGCAUUGGCAUGGCUCCUAUCAAAUAGAGGCAUUACAAUUGACAGUUUUGUGCAUGAUUACUAUUAUGUAGACAAGUUUAGAACAGCUUAUCCUGGAAGAGUUGAAGCCUUGCCAGAUAGGACAGACUGGCCUAAGGUAGACCUUGGGUACAAAGUAUACCCCCCUAAACAGAAGAGGGCUUCAGGAAAGCCUAGAAAACAAAGGAUCAGAGGCUGCCUGGAGGUCAAUGCUUCCAAGAGGAAAUUUAGAUGCAGUGGGUGCAAGGGCUUUGGUCACUUUUCCAAGACUUGCAAGUUGCUAGAACCAGAAGAAAGUGAUGAGGAAGAGCCUAAACCUCCUAAGAAAAGGUACUAUUCCUUUUCACUUUCAUAAAAAGAACCAGAACUAACUUAAGGAACUUAUAUUUGUACUCCUUUGUGACUUGCAAGAAGAAACACAAAGAAGAAAUAGAAGAAGUAGAGGAACUAGAAGAAGAGGAACAAUGAGGCACUACACCUCCAGUAAAGAAGCAGAAGAAGGGUACCCCUAAGGAAAAGACAGGAGCAAAGAAGAAGGGAAGAAGCAAAAAAAGGCUGCCAGUGCUCCACCACCAAGAGUUGUUAGAAGCCUCAAGGAUUGGCUAGAAAUUUUGUUCCUCAAGUACUGUCAAGUAGUUGUGAACCUUUAUUUUGUUAAAUCAUGUAUUGGAACCAUGUGCUUGUGAUCAUGUGAACAUGUUAUGUCAGUAGACCUUGUCAACAUGUUAUUUCUGUCAACAUGAAAUGUCUGUCAACCUUGUGAACAUGUUCUUUAUGUCCACCUUGUGCAAGAGCUAAAUCACAUCACAAACAUAUAAACUACAAAGAUGACAUUCUUAAAAAGCAAUCCACAUUAAUGACUUAUGUCCAUACAUCACAAGGACAUAACAUGGCAAAUGUCUCACAACAUAAAGACAUAAGAUGCCAAAUUUCUCACAACAUAAAGGAAGACAUAACAAUCCAAAUUUCUUUGAAACAAUAAAAGGAUAUAACAAGCCAAAUUCCUCACUAACAACACAAAGACACUACCAAUUGCCUCACUGACAACACAAAGACACUACCAAUGCCCUCAUUGACAAUACAAAGACACUACCAAUUUCUUCACUUAGCGCCUAGCUACUCCUGAUGCAAAAAUAGCAAGCAUCAAACCUACUAUCAAUGUAACAACAACUAUAAUGGUGGCCAUGUUGUAUCCUUCCUUGGUUUUCUUUGGAGCCUUCUUCUUCCUAACAGCAUGCUUCAACUCUCCCACCUCCAGCUUCAAAUUGUUAAUCUGCCCUCUCAUCUCUCCACUUUUGAUCUUCAUUUCACACAACUCCAUCUUCAAGUCACAAUUUGCUAGCUUGAACCUAUUGAUCUGUUCCACCAGUUCAUUACUCGGUUGCUGCUGCCCAGACUGAAAUACAGAACUUGAUAUGCUAAUGCUGCACCAGCCAACUGAGGGUUUGGAGGGACCAAAUGUGGGAAAUUGAGCUUCAAAUGGUUCAGGUAUUGAGCUUUAUUGGUCACACGAUGUAGGGUCGUCCUAGAACAAUAAUCAACAAAAGCAAUCCAUGUCAAACCUAGGCAACACAGUUUGUACAUUAAGUUAGGGUUGAAAUCUUACCUUGAGGUUGUUCAGGCACUUGUAGAAUAUAGCGCCUCCCCUGCUCCUUAGCCAAAUCAGCUUGACCCGACACUUGUGGUAGUCAACAAGGGAGAGCGGCACAAAUUGAUUGUGGCUCAAUGCAGAGGAGGGGCAGCUACUCGACAUGGCUUGGAUCUGCUAGUUCUUGACAUCCAUCAAGGAGCUUGAGGAUGAGGAUAGGCUCGACAGCUUGCCUCCCUUCCCUACUCUGCGGCGGCACAAUCACUACAAGAAAUGUGUUGAUCUAUGAUGAAAAUUCUAUGACAUAUUUAUCCUCGUCAUAGAUUUAUGAUGUUUCUAGCUGAAAACGUCAUAAAAUUUUACAUCCGAGCAAAUUUAGUGAUAAAGUUACGGAAUAUCAUAAAAUAUGCCACUAUAUCUAAAAAGAAAUCAUCACUCGCUAUUAAAUGGUAGUUUUGUGAUGAUAUAAGGUCCGCGAAAAUGUCAUAAACCAACUAGGAUCCCACAUAUAAGUUUAAGCUUAUAAAUAGGGUGGUAAAACAAAAAGAAAAAUAUGCUCCUCCCGUGGGUCGAACCUGUUACCGAUUGAGUGGGAAGUCUUUACCGCAAUUGGAUCCCACAUGUAAGUUUCAGAUGAGUUGGUGGCAAAAGUUUUGGUAAGUUAUGUUAGUUUGAGAUGAAAAAAGAAAAGGAAAAUCAAAAAUAAAUAGUGUCGAUAGCAAGGCUCUAAUCUUUGACCUCUUGACCACUGAGACAUGAACUAUGUAUGUUUUUUGAAAGGACGUAUUUUAUAUAUUUUGGUUCUAAUAUGUGUGCUCCACAUGCUAGUUACAAACCCAAGCAUGGGGUAUAUUUCUCAUUUCUAGACACGGCGUACACUACUGCAAGAGACUCACCGGCACCACGCUCCUAUUGGUUGUGGCAAAAACUAGAGCUAGCACUAAUGCACAGAUCUGCAACCGCCCGUGGCGGGAAUGGCGAAUCCUAGCGGGCCUAGCAGUGAAGGGAGGACAAGGAGGAGCUCCGGUCAGGUUAGUCCCCUAUUUUGUGCCGCUACUUUCCCCUAUCAUCCUAGGGAAGGGAAUAUCUAGAUUGGGAUUCUGGGUUAAAGAUACUAGAUUCCGAUUUCGUUGUACCCUUAGAUUUGCAUUCCGAUUGGUGUUAGAAGUUGAUAGGCUAUAGUUUAUAAAGUGAUUCUCCAUCCUGAUUUUAAGAGUUUAUGCUAGAGAAUCAAAGAGAAUCACUUUCGGCCACAAAAUCACUUCUCUUAGAUAAUUAGCUCCCAUACGUGCAUAGUUAAAAUCAUGUAUCUAGAAAAGCCAAAAUGACCGACAAUUUGAAACGGGGAGAGUAGUUUAUAAUUUGAUAGGUUCAUAUAUUUUAUUAGCUUCCACAGGUUCUUGGAGUCACUGAUAGUUACAGCUCACCAUCGCUUGAUCGUGAUGUUAUCGUUGUGGAUCCUGAAAAUAAGUGCAAGCACGGGUUGCCUUUCUAUGUGAGGUAUGAUUGGACAUUUGACAAUCCUGGGUACCGAUAUGCAUGCUGCUGCGAGAUAAACGAUAACUUAUUUCAAUUCUAAUAAACCUUGCUUCUACUUUUGAUGUUAGUGUUGUAAAUGGUGAAUUGUAUGAAUGUAAUCGGUGUCUGCAGAAUGAAGGAAUGAAAUGCACGUCAUUUAGGUGGGUUGAUCCUGAAUGGGAUGCUAGGACUAAAGGUGUUCUGGUGAAGCUAAUGAAGAGGGAGAAAAAGCUAAAGAGGAAGCAAGGUCGUGGGAAGAAGCAUGAAGAAUUGCUAAGAACAAGGCCAAUGACACAACCAAUGAGCUGCACUUGAUGAAAUGAUACUUUGGGGAGGCAACCAAUUCCCUGAUGAACAUGAGGAAGAAAAUGAGAAACGAUGCAUUGCUAAAGGAGCUAAAAAUGGAAAACUCUUACAGCGAUUAUGAUGCAAGGAAGUGGAAGAAAGAAUACGCAAAGGCUGGCAUGGAGCUUGAAGAGAUUGCCGCUAAGCUGUAGAAGGUGAAGAGAGACCUAGAACAGGCCACCAAUGUGGUGAAGAGGGUCAAGCAAUCGAUGCUAGAGGCCAAAUAUAGAAGGAAACUCAUCAGGGAUGAUUAAAGGCAUAAUAUCACUCAUCAAGCCAAAUUAUGAUGAAUGGCUAUAACAUGUCAUCUUAUGAAACUUGUUGCUGCUGUGAUGUUUGUUGCUUGUUGCUGAUGUAAACUUUGUAGUGAUGAAUGGCUAUAACAUGCCAUCUUAUGAAACUUGUUGCUGCUGUGAUGUUUUCUACUUGUUGCUACUAUGAACUUUGUAGUGAUGAAUGGCUAUGACAUGCCAUCUGAUUAUGUCGCUUUAGUUUAAUCUACUUUUAGUUUGAUUCCAGCAUAUUUACCAUUCAGAAUUCAAAUAUGCUGCAUAAUUGAGGAACACUAAUAAUAUAGAUAUUGGUAGUAUAUAUACAAAUGCGUUACAGGUGUUACAAAAUGAAAGAUCUAAUCUACUCAUAGCCAGGCAACAACCAUGUUCCUCGCGACCAAAUCCAGUUCCUAGAAACCUGUGUAAUGCGGAUCGCAGGACCAUUGUUGACACCUGCCACAUUUCUAAUUCCCUGCUGGUAGAGCCAGUAUUGCUCCUCUUCAUCAUGCCGAUCCAUUCUUAGCAAGUAAAUGUGAUUUCCCUUCAAGUUUGGCAAGCCACAAAUGGCAUGCUCUUGUACAACAAUGCACUUGCCAGGUCCAAACAGGAAGAUCUGGAGCUAUCUCCCAGGGAAUAGGUUGCCAAAUGUCACCGAUGAAUGAAUGCAAAGUAAAUUCCACCACCUCAACAUCUCUCUCAUUGAUGUCCCAAGUCUAGGUGCUGUGCAUCCUCUCCUCCCGAACAACAAAGAACAAUCAGUCUUGACCUUGGAGUAGAGAAGAGUUGUUUAUGUCAAGAACCCAUGAUAACCGAAGUCCAACGGCUUGAGGAGGUGCUGGAAGAUGAAGCCCCACGCAGAUCCGCAUGUGUUUAGAAGAACUGCACUAGAAAUCUUCUGAAGGUAUGGUAGUCCAGUCGGAUUGGCUUCCCAAAUGCCAGAUGCAGACAGGCAAUGACCCUAGCGAUGGAGAAGAUUUCACAGGCUAAAAGUUAGUUAUCACAAGAAAUAACUCUGCACUAGUAGGUGUUUUCAAGCCCAAGAUACAAGCAUCGAGAGCAACCAUAUGGCACCAUGUUGGAAGUCGAGGAAGGAUAAUGUGCUCCCGAGGAGACAAAGGAUUCAGCAGGAGCGCGGAGCUCCCAUCUCUGUCAUCUAUGGUGACUAGGCGUCUAGAUCCGCCGCAACCAAUCAAACUAGUCCUUUUCCCAAGUAAUGCUAGAAAGGAGACCUCAAAAAGCCAGUGAUCCUCGACGGAUGCGAAUGCCACUGCUCCAGAUUCAUCGAUAUCUUAGGAUUUCAUAAUCCAAGGGUCAAACGGGCGUUCCUCACCUGAACGAGCGCAAUUCCAACUCUUACAGACUAAUCUUAUUGGCGAUGCUCACAGUAAGAUCUGGCAUAAGAUUUGCCCAGGAAGGACCCAUGAUUGACUGGACAGCCAGAGAAGAAGGUAGAGGGAGAACAAUGGAGGACUCGUAAUAGAUAGAGAAGGGGGAAGUUAUGGACGAGGCAGAGGUUGUAGUUCCAAGUAAGAGAAAUGAUGAUGGAGUGGAAGCAGUUGUCAAACUUCCGGUGUAUUGAUGUUUUGCAGAAAGGACCUUCCUGACUAACAAUUGCAUCUGUCUACUCGUGUACACCGGAUCAUCUUGUUUAACUACUAUUUACCAAACCGGACUUUCAUAUAUAACGAUGAUAUAUUCAUGGGCACAUUUGAUCUCAGUACAAUGUAUUGCUUGUUUAAAUGCUAUGGCUUGUAUGUAUUUCAAAUGAAAUUAUGUAUUUGAAUCCGUGGAAUGAAAUUACAUAUUUCUAUCACUAAUGAACCUAAACCUCUAAUGAUGUGGCACUCAUGGAGAGAUUGUGUGAAGCAGUUUCAACUAUAAAUUAAAUGUUAUCAUGCAAUGAAUUAAUGUAUUGGAAAUAGUAAAUGAUGGCCUACAAAAUGAUUUUACAUUACCUUGCAGGGGCUAGUUGUCAAUAUGGGCAGCGUCACUUUAUAUUAUUGCAACCACCAAAAACCCCAGUUUGGCCCUUGUCGAGUAAGCUACUUCUUCAUUCUUGCAACCACCAAAAAACACUAGUCUGGUAGCGCGCCUCUUCCUCUCCUCAUGGCGCCAUCAUCUCCUAAAGUGAUGGUGUAUGUCACAUCCUCUGUUGAAGAGGAGAAAUCUCCAAGGUACAUCCCCACAGAUUCGAAGCUGAGCGAUUGAGCCUCUCCAACAUCGCACCAUCCGCAAGUCAGUCAGAGGUGACUGUGGUCAGGGCGCGGAAGCACCACCACUCACCGGGGCACCACCGUCCCCAAGCGCAAGGCUCGAGGAAGUAGGAACAGACCGCCACAAUCCUCGUCGGUCGGCGGCAGUCGAUCUCUACCAUCCUCGUCAAGCGGUGGCCAUGGACCUCCGUGAUGGUCCUCGACCGGUGGUGCCAUCGUCCGCGGGCAGCGGCAAUGGAGGGACGGCCUCAUUUGCGGGCGGCGGCAACGGAGGAACGGCCUCAUUGGUGGGCAGCUACAUCAAGGCCCCAGAUGCACCAUCGACCAAGAAGCGACGCCUUGAUUAGUGGUACCUAGUACUAAUAGAAGAAGAAGUAGUAGAAGUAGUAGUAGUAGUAGUAGCAGCAGCAGUAGAAGAAGAAGAAGAAGCGGUAGUAGUAGUAGUAACAAUCUGUUAUCAUCUUGGAUCCAGAUCCCAUUGUGAUGCAGUUUUAUCUUCGAUCUUGAUCCCAAUAUGAUACCGUUUUCUCUUUUCGAUCUAGAUCCAGUUGCUAUUGUUUUCUUUUGCUAUUAAGAUGGGUUUAAUUAAGUAGCAUUAUUAUUGGUAACACUUUCAUCCAGUCUGUUCAAAUACUAAACAAUGGACUUUUCCCUUUAUUGACCCUUUACACAACUGUUGUGAGACUAAGAAGGCCUAUUGCUUGCACUUUCAUUCGAUCAGUUCAAAAACAUAGCAACGGACUUUCCCCCUUCAUUCAGUCAGUUCAAAAACAGAGCAACAAAGCAAGAAGGCCUAUUGCUUGCACUAUCAUCCGGUCUAUUAGAAAUUAGGGAAACAGACUUUCCCCCCUUAGAACAAAUGUGUCUCAAAACAUAGAUAAGCAUGACCAUUUUUGUUACAAACAACACACUCCAAGUACAAACGAUACAAAUGCAUACAUAGGCAUAGAUCCACUCUCGGUACAAGUACAACGACACACUCAACAAAGCAAUGAAGGAUACUUAGGCAUAUAUCCACUAUUGGUACAGUGACACACUCUAACGAACGAAGCACGACAACACAUAGGCAUAGAAGUGGUGCACCGAUGACAUACUACUACCAUCACGGGCUCAUGGCAACCCCGUGGCAGUACGAAAUUAAGCAAAACAGUCAUCCUAGCGGAGAUACUCUUCUAAAGCACGAUGCCUCACCCUAGUUGUCGUACAUACAUCUAUCGGCCCACUGAAAGGUUUGGAUAGUCUUAAAUACAGGGCUGGACACCGAGACGUAUCUGACAUGAAGGCUAUGGCGCAGGACAACGUAGUCUACGUGGUAAGAUAGGAACUGGUCGAGGAUUAGGAAAAGUACAUGUAGAAUCGGAGUAGGACUCGCCUAGUCGAAUCCAACUAGUAUUCUUGUAAACAACCGACCUGUAACCCUGCCCCCGGCAAUAUAAGGCGAGGCAGGGACCCCCUCCAAAACAAUUCAAUCCAACCAACACACAGGACGUAGGGUAUUACGCAAUCUACCGGCCCGAACUUGUCUAAAUUGUGUGUCUAUGUUCACCUUCGAGUUCCUAAUCUCGACAAGCCCCAUUAACUAAAACACUACCUCGGGCACCACCUUCGGUAGGUUGCCGGGUCUAAACACUGACAGCUGGCGCGCCAGGUAGGGGCUCUCACCGAGAAUCCACUAGCGAUCUCGAUGGCCCAAGUCAUCAUCAAGACAAAUGUCGCAUUCGAAGCAGGCGCAAUGUUCAUCUUCGGCUCCUUGGUUUGUGUCGCAGACGGCGCUGGAAGUCCGCCACAUUGCGACGACCCGGGAGAAGAAGCAGCAAACCAUGAAGCUCCAGCGUCAAGCUCUGGAGGAUCUCAUCGAGAAUUUUGAUGAAUUUUCAAUUUCUGACUUAGUCAGAGGUUGGGGGGAUGAAUCCAAGUACAACUCGGCUCCUCCCGUCAGUCGGAUUGACCUGCAUGAGCUAGCGCAUAAGCCAUCGUGCGAAUCAGACUACCACCUGAGUCGAUUCCCAUUCGGACUCCGCAACGCGGCUACUAUUUAUCAAGCUACCCUAUCCAGAUCACAAUCCGAUACGGAUACGAUUGAGGACCUCGACUACUACUCAGAUCUGGAUGAGGAGACUCCUUUAUCAGGUCCGCAGCAGGGCUCGGUAAUCAUAUCGACUCCUCAAGGUAGAUUCGUCUACUGGCCCAACAUGAAGCCACCUGCUCUUGCCAAGGAUGACAAUUCACGCCUCAACACCUACCUCGACACCAUCCCAUACCAGGAGGGAGCUCCUCUAUCGCCCAUCUACGAAGAAGGUGGCAUCACGGAGGUCAUCACUUCAAGCUCGGGAAGCUACUAUCCGGAAUGAGAACUCUUCGCUCUUGUCGCUAGACAAGAGGACGACGAAGAAGAGCAACAAGAUAGAAACCCGCGGCAUGAAUGUCACCCAGAUGAUGUCUCGCAAGAUGAACUCACAGCCAACAUUGCCGAAGAAGAAAUUGAUGCUGAAAGAACUCGACAAUGAGCAAGAAAAGAUGCAAGAGCAAAGCACAGACGCCGCCUUGCAGCGGACCUACCAAUCAUGAACCUGGAUAAUGCUUUUGAAGUAGUUCAAACGCGUCACCAUCGUACUCCUCUCGCCACCAUCGCGUCCAUUGAUCUCAUCACCCGUGCAAUAUCACAGAACAAGUACACUAGACAGUUGGCUGAACUAGCUGAACGCACGUAUGAACAACUCGAUCAGCAAAACCCAAUACAAUCAGUUCAACGCUUUCCAUCCCAGCGUAGUCAACAUGGAAGUACCCAUAGAGGUCCUCCAUCCAAACCAAGCUAACUCGGAGGUGCCAGACCAAGUCAAGCUGGAGCAGAGGGUAGUCAGGCGGGACCCUCAGGAGGCCAUCACCGUGGGGCUAAUCCAGAGCAUGAAUGCCUAGUAGAUGAUCUUCGCAACAAGAUCAACGUCAGCCGCGACACCCGUACCAUCAUUGAUAGACGGCACUGCGAGCGCGAGUAGGAAGUCGAACACCCACGGGAUGACUCUGACAGGUUUCCAGCCUUCUCGAGACAUGUGAGGAGGACAAUUCUACCCAAAAAAAUUCAAACCCCUGGGCAUCACCAAGUACGAUGGCAAAUAGGACCCAGUCCAAUAGCUCCGGUGCUACUCGCUAUUAGUACAAGCAGCUGGAGGAAAUGACGACACUAAAGUCAUCUACUUCCCCAUCUGCAUGGAGGCGGUGCCACUCACAUGGCUUGAAUCAUUGGAUAAGAAUUCCAUUGACACGUGGAAGGACCUCAAGGUGGCAUUCACCAACUACACAGGGGCAAUGCAGCGUCCUGGGAGUAGGAUCGACUUGUCUCAAGUUAAACAACAAGAAGGUGAAAUCCUGCGGAGUUACUUACGUCACUUCUUCGACAAGAAGGCCACAAUCAUGGACAUCACGGAGCGCGACGUCAUAGAUUGCUUCCAAAACGGCCUCCACGACCGCCGGAUGUCCAGGACUUCGGCAGAAGAUGCCCCGCUGAUGUCAAAUCCCUUAAGAUCAUGGUACAGGCAUGGGCAGAUAAAGAAAACAGGGAGAUCAAAAGGUUUGAGUCCAAUCACAACAAGGGCCAGAACAACAAUAAUCAGAACAAUGACCAAUGCAAUGACCAGAACGGCAAUGAUCACCCUAACAAUGACAACCAAAAUAACUACUUGGGAGGUCACAACCGCAAGCGAAAGCAAGACAAUACUACCACGGCAAUGUCACAGUCAUCCAAGAAAGGUGGUGGCAGGAAUCAAGAUAGGCCCUCAUUCAGUGAGCUCCUGAAGAAACAGUGCCCAUGGUACCCAUACCACAAGCACUCUACGCUAGAUUGCUUUAGUCUACGCAGAGUCAUGAAGGACAUGCUAGAACCAUCUGGCACCUAAGACAAGGGCAAGGCUAAGAAAGACGAAGACGAUGGUGACAAUGGAAAGUUCCAGAACCCAUCCAACACCAUCAACGUCAUCUUCGCUGGAACACUGGGUACUACUACUAAGCGGUCCCAGAAACUCACCCUUCGAGAGAGAUAAUGUCCAUUGAACCAAUGGUCCAAGUGCCAAUUACUUUCUCUAGGAAGGACCAAUGGACUAGUUUCUCAGACCCAAGAUGGUAUCCCCUCGUCCUGGACCCUGUUAUCGCUGGCUCCAGACUUACUAAAGUACUCAUCGAUGGCGGUAGCGGUCUCAACAUACUAUUCGCCAAGACACUAAAGAAGAUGGGCCUCGACAUCACAGAUAUGCUCACCCCAACGAACUCUCCAUUCUAAGGGAUUGUCCCAGGCAACAAGGUUGUACCCCUCGGACAGGUGGUUUUGCCAGCUACCUUUGGGACCAAAGAACACUACCGGACGGAAUACAUCCGGUUCGAGGUAGCAGACUUCAAAACUUCGUACCAUGCCAUCCUUGGAAGACCAGCAUUGGCCAAAUUCAUGGUCAUCCCACACUACGUGUAUUUAGUACUCAAGAUGCCGGGACCUAAGGGAGUACUCUCCCUGCGCGGAGACUUGAAGAGGUCAUAUGACUGCGACACGGAAGCCGUGGAGCUAGCAACAAUUACACAAGUACCAAAUUCGAUGAUGCAAGUCUUCGCCGCAUCUAAAAAACUAUCCCUAUCAGAACUCGAGGUCCCAGAAAAGAAGUCGGGGACAACCAAGGUCAAGCCGGCAAGUGAAGUAGGCGUCAAAGCCAUUGACCUUGAGACUGGUGAUAGCUACAAGACAGCCCUGAUUGCCACAAGGUUGGAUCAUAAAUAGGAAAGCGUGCUCGUCAACUUCCUCCAGACCAACCGAGACAUCUUCACGUGGAAACCAGUGGACAUGUCGGGGUGCCCAGGGAGUUGAUUGAGCACUUACUAAACGUGAAUCCAAAAGCUACACCAAAAAGGCAACGCCUACAACGAUUUGCCCAAGACAGAAGGGAAGACAUCAAAAAAGAGCUAGCCAAACUACUCAUAGCGAGCUUCAUAAAAGAAGUCUAUCAUCUAGAGUGGCUUGCCAAUCCUGUCCUAGUGUAAAUGAAAAACAACAACGAGUGGAGGAUGUGUAUCAACUACACGGACCUUAACAAGCAUUGUCCAAAGAAUCCCUUCGGGCUUCCUAGGAUUGAUCAAGUCAUCGACUCCACAACUGGAUGCGCCCUACUGUGUUUCCUCGAUUGCUAAUUGAGGUAUCACCAGAUAGCUCUCAAGGAAGAGGACUAGAUCAAGACCGCGUUCAUCACCCCAUACGGAGCUUUCUGCUACACAACAAUGUCCUUCCGGUUGAAGAACGUAGGGAAUACUUAUCAAGGGGCAAUCUAGGAGUGCUUCAACAUAGAGGCGUACGUGGACGACGUGGUCGUAAAGACCAGAAAUCCCGACGAUCUAAUUGCGGAUUUGGAAGAAACUUUUGCAAGUUUGCAAGCAUUUCGGUGGAAGCUCAACUCAACAAAGCGCAUCUUCGGCGUACCCUUCGAGAAACUACUCGAUUUCAUCAUCACUCACUGAGGAAUUGAAGCUAACCCUAAUAAGAUCUCCGCCAUCACCAACAUGCAUGCCCCAUCAUACAUCAAGGACGCCUAGAAGCUGACUAGAUGCAUGACGGCUCUCAACAUAUUCAUAUCAAGGCUUGGAGAAUGGGGCAUACCCUUCUUCAAACUACUCAAGCGGCAAGACAAAUUUUAGUGGACCGAGGAGGCAAAUCAAGCCCUGCAAUUAAAGGAAUUCCUAUCAAAGCCACCGGUCCUCAUGGCGCCAAACCCCAACGAAGACUUGCAGCUUUACAUCACCGCGACUACUAACGCCGUCAGUACGGUGAUCGUGGUUGAAAGACCAGAACCAGGCCAUGUAUACAAAGUACAGAGGCCCGUUUACUUUGUCAAUGAGGUGCUGUCAGAUUCCAAGGCUAGACACUCACCAGUCCAAAAAUUGCUAUACGCAAUACUACUCACCUCGGGGAAGCUACGACACUACUUCUAGGAACACAACAUCUCCGUUGUCACGGACUUCCCCCCGGGAGAAAUUCUCCACAAUCGGGAUGCAAUGGGAAGAAUAUCUAAGUGGGCGGUAGAACUCAAAGCAUUGUCCCUGGAAUUCAAGUCGAGGACUGCGAUCAAGUCCUAGGCACUAGUUGAUUUCAUGGCAGAAUGGCAGGAAAAUCAACUACCAACACUAGCAAAGCAUCCAGAGCAUUGGAUUAUGUAUUUUGAUGGAUCUCUCAAGCUCAAGGGUACCGGCGCAGGAGUACUCUUAAUAUCUUCCAAAGGCGAACAACUCAAAUACGUCUUGCAAAUCUUCUGGGAAGUAUCCAACAACGAAGCUAAAUACGAAACGCUAUUGCACAGGCUCCGCCUAGCAGUCUUGCUGGGAAUCAAGUGAUUAUUGGUUUACGGCGACUCACUGGUAGUAAUCAAUCAAGUCAACGAUGAGUGGGAUCGCCACAAGAACAUGGAUGCGUACUAUCUGGAAGUGCGCAAGCUAGAGAACAAAUUCUCUAGUAUGGAGUUUCACCAUGUAGUUCGCAACAACAAUGUUGCUGUGGACGUCCUAUCCAAGCUCGGAUCUACUUGAGCUCAAGUUCCAACAGGGGUUUUCAUCCAUGAGCUACACAAGCCAUCCAUAGCGGAGCCGGCACCAUCAACAAUCAUUGAUCGAGGUCCUGCCGCACCAAAUCAGGAGGUCAUGAUGAUCGACGUAGACUGGAGAGCUUCCUUCAUCGACUACAUCAAAGAACACAAGGUGAAAUGGCGAUGGUAUGCGCAUGGAACAUGAGGUCACGAAUGGUCCAUUGCCUAUGACCAAUCUAGCAAAAAAGGGCAAACCCACAUACCAUGGAGACGAACACGGUUGAUCCCGGACUGCUAAAGCCAAGCCAACACAGACCAUUUCAGAUCAUGUGAUUUGUUUGGUUCGAUGAGGGCUGGCCGCGGAAGUGGCAUUUCAACGGGCGGCAGCAGAGGUGGUGGCCUGGGCCGUGGUUGAAAAGAUGGUGCCAUGAGGUUCAGGUGAUCCUGAGGUGCCGUUGCUAGAGGCUAAGUUGGAGGUGCCAUGCUGAUAGAGUGCUGCUGAGGUGCCGUUGCCAGUGGCUGAAGCGCAGGUGCCAUCAGAGCUGGCUGUUGCUGAGAUGCCGUGGGGGUAGGCUGCUCCCUCUUCUUUGACUCCUCCAAGUUUCAUGCUCCGUCUCUUCCAUGUCCGGCCAUUCUCCACUACAUACACAAACGAAGAACAAAGGCACCAUACGCUUACAAUGCUGACCAUAUCAAUAUCAUGCAUAUAUAGUAAACGAGAUAGACAAAAAAAUGAGCUCGCGUACCUCCAAUCAAACAAUGCAAGAUGGUGAAUUGAUGAGUGUAGGCGUUGCCUUGCAAGAAUGUUGUGCACCGCCUAUUUAUUGAGCACUACGGCGGGCACGAGCGUAGGUAGGAAUCUUCAGUUUUGCACAUCGAUUACAUGUGUGCACGACGGGUGUCAUGGGAUAAGCCCGACGUGUGCAAGUGUACAUUUCGCUGGACUACCCGGCAUACAAUACAAGACAUUCCUGCGAGACAAGUCAUGCAAGAUUAUGAGUGAUAGGUUCCCUUUUGAUGGUGCCUUGCAAGAAUGUUGUGCACCUGCCUAUUUAUUGAGCACUACGGCGGGCACGAACGUAGGUAGGAAUCUUCAGUUUUGCACAUCGAUUAAAUGUGUGCACGACGGGUGUCAUGGGAUAAGCCCGACGUGUGCAAGUGUACAUUUUGCUGGACUACCCGGCAUACAAUACAAGGCAUUCCUGCGAGACAAGUCAUGCGAGAUUAUGAGUGAUAGGUUCCCUUUUGACAGUGGGUUUAAUGUAAGAAAGAUGUUGCCACCGUUCAUUUGUGACAGUUAUAGGCAUCAACUGCAUUAGGAGAAAGAGAUUAAUUGCUGGCAGGUUGCACAAAGCGAUAAGGUCAGAUAGUCCUUGCGUUGUCAGAUGCACGGUGCAGGAUGUCAUGACUAGUCAAUGUCAUAUGUGGUGUGUGACUAAAAAGGUCUGCCAAGGGUAUGGAUUCGCACUAAAUGAUUCUCGCAGGACACGAAGCUUGAGAAACGUGAACUAGCCGAUGUGACAAGGCCAAGACGGAUUAUGCUAGACCAAAUGCCGCGAUUCAAGACUGAAAAGGCAUUUUAGGACAGGCCGUUAAAGACUAGCAACGGGCAUUCAUGAUCGAAUGUGCAUAUUCGCACUGAAGGGACGUGUCCAUUCAAGAUGUUCACGAAUGACCAUUUCAGAACGACACACUCCCAUAUAUAAAGAGGUAGUUUAUCCACGAGUCGAUCAUUGUCAUUUGCAGUUAUGGCAUUACACACUAACAUGUUCCCUUCGUUGCUGGACUAUCCGGCAUACAACACAAGACAUUCAUGCAAGAUUAUGAGUCAUAGGUUCCCUUUUGAAUGUGAGUUAAAUGUAAGAAAGAUGUUGCCACCGUUCAUCUGGAGAAAGAAAAUAAUUGUUGUCUUGUUGCACAAAUUGAUAAGCUCGUAUAGUCCUUACGUUGUCAGAUGCACGGUGCAGGAUGCCAUAACUAGUCCAACUCAUCUGUGGUGCAUGGCUGAAAAGGUCUGGCAAGGGCAUGGAUUCGCACUAGAUGAUUCUCAUAUGCCAGCGGAGCCUGAAAAACAUGAACGUUCGAUGCGACUAGGCCUAGGCGGAAUAUGGUGGACCAAAUACCGCCAAAGGGCGGGAAUCAAGACUAGUAACGGGCGUUCAUGACCGCCAUUGUAGGGACGUGUCGACCCAAAACUGGUAACAGACUUCCACGAAUGGUCGUUUCGGAAUGACACACUCCCACCUAUAAAGAGGCAGUAUAUCCACGAGUCGAUCAUUGUCAUUUACAGUUAUGGUAUUACACACUACCAUGUUCCCUGCGUCGCAAAUCGACUUCUCAGUCUCAACUAUUGGGCAGUAUAGGGAAUCCUUUACAUUCAUGAUUAGAGGCCGUCAAUGGAGGAUAUGUUGCUACCCUACGGGUAUUCAUGAUCCGUGGUACCCACCAGCAGGACCAGAAGGAAUUUUCGUCAUCCUCGUUAUGAUGAACAGCGCACAAAAGGUAGGUGUCUCAUUGCUAUGAAUACACAUGCUCACAUAUACGCUUGCAUGGUCAACCCUAUGAAUGCUUACACGUAGGUAUCAAUCUUGUUUCGUGCGGUGGUUGGAGAUGCAACCGAUUAUGAUGAUACGUUUCGAGUUCAAGAUUUAAAGGAACUUGAAUUCAGGUUGAGCAUGUGUGGGACCAUUCCGGUUGCGUAAACAUAUCCUGCACUAUUACAGUACUAGAGGACAACUGCAUUGAAGUUCCACCUCCAUCAGUAGACAGAAGCAUAUGCACAACAAUUGCAACCCAAUCCCCUGUGGACGUCGUCUUCGACAUAGGCGAUUGGGUGAUUCGAGCAAGACAGGCCGAUGUGGUGGCACUAUCUCAUGUGAUGGAGGCAUUGCUCUAUGGCAGUGGAGUGGAGUCAAAGUCAUAAACUAUUUCAAUUAAAGACACUAACACUGCUGGCUUCUCGCUGGUGAUCAAAUAUGCGUGUGAAGGAUCACUCUGAGAGGAGGCUGAUUUAUGGACACCCCUGUCAACGCCUGGCCCGUGUUACUCUCACUUGCCGACAUGUACUGCGUCAAAUGGUUGAAGCUGCACUGUGCGUCAAAGAUGUGGGACAUGGCGUGCAUGGAAACUGUGACCACAUUUCUACGAUGCGCAUUUGAGACUAAUUGCACCCAAUUGCAGGAGAAGUGCAUGUCUCUCAUAGCGCUAAUCUUGCCGGACGGAAUACUCACAGAGGAUUUUGUGUUCAUAUGGUACCACCAUCCCAAAGUUAUCAAGAAGAUCCGUGUGCUUCCGACUAUGAAUGUCGAGUAGAGAUUAGGAGGCCUCUGCCCAGAUACACUGUAAUUUAAUGUUUUAUUUAAGUGUAUUUUAUUAAUUUGUUGCACUGAAGCAUAUUUGGAAUGUAAUAGUCGGAUCAUCCUGCACACAUGAAUCUACAAAGCAAGAUAAUCUGUGGAGUGCUCAUCAAUGCCAUGAUGCCACGGACUGUCCCAGACUCCCUUCUGGAACCACUCAUUUACAUAAGGUCACUGACGCUUGGGUCCGAGUCCCAAGCGGUCCAACAUGCUAGUGACCCAGGUCUCAUGGUGGUUUCCAAAAAGUUUUGUCUCCCACUACCAAGCACAAAGGCGGGAUCUGAAAUUUUGAAUUCCCCACUCCUCCUCCGGGUCCUCCCCCAUUAUAUAUAGUAAUAUAAAUAAAAGAGGGGAUCCAAGCCUCCCAUAUCCCGCCUGGUAAUUCAAAAAUCAGCCCCCUCUCCUCUUCCCAUUGAAUAGCCCUAGUAGGUCUGCAACGGUGGCGGCGGCAGCAAGCGCGGUUUCGGCAGUGCCGUCAAGCUCGACGGGCGAUGGGCUGCCUAAGCAACUUUCGGUGGGCUACAAGAUGGUUCAAGGCCAUCGCUCCAUCGGCCUCCCGAGGCUACCACCAUCGGUUGUCGUGCUCGAUUUCAUGCAAAGAAGACCAAGGAAAUGGCGCAUGCCCAGGCUGCUCCAUCGAGGAGGCAUUCGGCACCGCCUUCUCUCCAUGUUCAUCAGGUCAGCGGUCUCCUCCCUAUAUUGCUAAAUUCAAUUAUUAGAUUGCUUCCCCAUGCUCUUUGGCAUUCAAUAUUGCAGUUGGUGGGGAAUGUGGAUUUGUUGUACCCUAUUGCGAGAGUUGGUGAAAAAUUACUUCUCCACCAGAUCCCCUUUAUCUUUGUAGAACUUAAUAGAUUAAAUUAUUAGAUUGUUUCCCCAUGCUCUUUGGUUUUCACUAUUGUAGUUGGUUUGGGGAAUGUGGAUCCGCUGUACCCUAUUGCGAGAGUUGGUGAAAAAUUAUUUCUCCACCAAAUACCCUUUAUCUUUGUAGAACUUAAUAGAUGAAAUUAUUAGAUUGCUUCACUGUACUCUUUGGCUUUCACUAUUGUAGUUAGAUUUGGGAAUUUGGAUCUGUUGUACCUUAUUAGUAGAGUUGGUGAAAAAUUACUGCUCCAGCGGAUCCCCUUUAUCUAUCACCUUUUUCAAUAAUUAUUUUUGUACCAAGUCAAAUUGUUUACGUGGUUUGUAGAAUUUAAUAGAUGAAAUUGCUUCAGUUUGUGAAUAAUCUCAACCUUUUCCACAUGUUCUUGUACUUGUUUAUUUGUCCGCUCUUAAUUUAUACUUAAACAAAUGCAUCAGCUGAAGUUAUUUCAGCCAGCUAGAGGGUCAACAUCUAUAAUCGCUCCUUUUCAGUCCAGCUCCAAGGUAACAAACUAAACAUACGAUGAUUAUUGAUGUUCCUUCUUUCCUUAAUUUAAAUCAAUUGCAAGAUCACAAUCUGACUUCGGAUCCACUAUUGCUAGCUGGAAGUUCUCAAAUCAAUGGUGCUUCUUGCAAACAAGAAUGUGAUGUGGCAGCGGAGUACUCAAGAAGCUCUACCAAAUCCUUAUGGGCAGUGUUGAUGCAAGUUGACGCUGACAAAUAGGAUGGGAUACAACUUCGACAACAGUUUGUUGCUCACCAGUAAGAGUUAGCUACCUUGAAGAAGAAGAUAGAAGAAUUAGAAUCAACUCUCAAAUUCUAGUCAGCCGAUAUUGAGAAAUUAAAGAAGGUAACAUAAGAUAGUGAAGCACUCCUUCGUCAACUGCUAACCUAUACAAGAGGUUAAGAUCAAUACUCUACUUUGUUUCUUGAGAUUAUGACCUGGACGUAGCUUUGUUAAUCUUUAUUCUUUGCGAGACAGUUAUCUUGUAAUAGUUUGUGAUAUAUGAUGAACAGUAGUGGUUGUCUUGAUGGGAAACAAUAAUUUAUUUUCUUGUAUACAUAAAUAUAUGUUAUGUUUAUUAUUUUGCCAACUUGAUCGGAAUUGAAAUGAAAUCAAUUAUUUAUCAGGCUCAAUUGGUUAAAUUUAUGUUUGCUUUAAGUGGGCUUAGCCCAUAUAUAAUUGGGUCAAAGGUCAAUUUCAUUCAUAAAUCAUGACUAAUAGGGCUGCAAACAAUUUGCACAACUUUUAGGGUUGACCCAAUAACAAAUGGGCCUACUGGAAUCAAUUUUGGGCUAUCUGAAUAAUAUUGUCAUGUGUCACACAAAUUUUGAGCUCAACCCACUAACAAAUGGGCCUAUCGGAAUAAAUUUUAGGUUAGCUGAAUAACAUUGACCUGUGGGAACAAUUUUGGGCUCGAUCCAACAACAAAUGAGCCAGAUUCAUUUUAUGACAAAAACAAUUUAUCACAAUUAUCAUGCCGCAUCGGAUGCCACAUCAGAUUCUAUCUAUCGUGGCAAAACAGUACGAUCCAAUUUAUGAUGUUUUUGGUUGAUGAUUCGUAGGCGUCAUAAUUUUAGUGACGCAACAAAAUAAAGGACGUCACUAGUCGCGGUUUAUGAUGCUCGACUAAUGAUGAAGGGUUUUCGUCAAUCCCGCAUCAUAAAUCACAAUUUAUGACAAAAAAGUGUUUAUGAUAUUUUUUUGGUUCGUCAUAGGUAGCAGAUUUCUUGUAGUGAAUCUUAGUGGGUGGCGUCGCAAGCUUAGUGGGUGGCGGCACAAGCAGCUUAUGCAAGAAGGGAGGCGGGUAUGCGACGCUAGCUACCAACCUAGCCUCCUUAUCCGUUCGGACUGGAGCAAUUCCGACCAUACGAGAUUCCGUAUAGUAACCGUAUGUCUGCAGGUGGGUCGAACAACGUUCCAGGCUUACAAAAUGGUAUGUUUCAAACUACUACGAAAUUGUAAUGGCAUGCAUCCUAUAAGUCCAACAACAAUGGUGAUGUGUCAAAAACUUGCAAAUUGUAAUGAUAUAGAUCCAAUUAACCCUAAAAGCAACGUGGAGUGCAAUGGUUUGGAUGUUCUUUGGGCACAAUGUUUCGAUUCCUGCCUCUGACGUCUUCUUUUGCUUUUUUCCCUACCACUGACAAGUGGGCUCCCCACUACAUCGUUGUGACAAAAAAAAACCUAAAACAGGCGAACAUAAUUCGAAUCAGGGACCUGUUGACCGGCCAAUGGGAAGCAAACCAUUGAGGUAGGGAGAAAAUUAUAAAUGGGACAAGUUACACAUCAUUGUUUAUUAGAAGUUUAGAAAUUUAAAUUGAUGUUUUUUUUUGAAAAAUUUUGUCCGAAAUUUUGACCGAAUUUUGCCUUUAUAACGAAAUCAGCACCAUACGCUAAGGCAUAUCAUCAGGCCACGUUAUCCUGAUUUUACUACCGUCGGAUCCCGGGCAAAGUUUCCAUCCGUCCAUCAUUCUAGCGCCUCCGGCGAUAGCGUUCGCGAGUCUUCGCGAGGGCUCUUCGUUUCCCGUUGCUCGUCCUGCGGCCUACGCGCUCUUCGCCAACCCUCGCCUCCCACGCCGCCAGCGCUGAUCAAGUGACCGCCCUGCCACCGCUGGCGAUCUCUCUCUGGCGUCAAUGCUGCGUCCCUGCGGUGGCCGCCAGUUCUUCACCAAAGCAGCAAGCCAGCAGUUGACCUCUCUUCCUCCUUCCCCUCUACCAAUUGCCGCGUCAGCAGUUGACCCGCAAUUCCUGCACCUCAACAUCCAAUUCGAGCUACCACCAGACAUGCCCGAUCCUCAGUAUCUGUCUUUGUUGCAGCACCUUUCCUCCUUCCAUGGAUCUCUUCUUCGGGUCGCAUCUUCCAUCCCCUCUGCUCUUCCUUUUUUCAAUCUAACAAAAUAGUAGCAACAAAUCCAUCACCUGCCUGAUCCCUGUUCAUCAUCAUUCAUCGUAAACUCCACUGCGACCAGUCCAUGCCAGCCACUCCCUUCCUCUCUGUGCCACCAAAUCCAAGCCAAUAGCUGCAGCGGUGUCAUAGGGGCCAUGAGCUCACCGGUGAUGUUGGAGUCUCUACGUCUCUUUGCGAUGCCUUUGAUGCUUAGUGCAUGGAAUAUGUUUGUGCACUUCAGAGUUAUGGCAACUUCACCAGGGUGCAGUCAUCCAACAAGGCAUUCAGUAUUAUGCCAAUUUCUGUGUAGUACUUCUAACAAAAGUCAUGUGACCAAUGAACUGUUAUAAAAUUUACAUACAUUAUCUAUGUGAUGUGUUAUGUGUACAUGCACCUAAGAACUCAAGAUCGAUGCUUUCCCAUUAUUCUGUACUGUACCUACGCAAAUCAAGUAUAACAUAGGAUGGCCAGGUGCAUUUAUCAUUUUUCCAUGGGAAAAAGGAUUGAGACAUCAGUACUUUGUUUGAAAAGAGAGUGAGGUAUUGGAAUAUGAAGUAUACUUUACCUCAUCAGACAAUGAACCACCUUUUUACCAGGCUGACAAAAGUCCCAGACAUGUAAUAUUUUACACCUCAGUUUUAUUUUUUCCAACCAUUCUAAAAUUUCUUUAUUCAUAUAACUUAUUUCUUUAUUCAUAUAACUUAGUUUACCUUUUGAAAUCGUCUGGUUAUAAUAACAACUAAGGUCCACAAUGGACAACAAUGAUGUAGUGGUCUUAAGUAAUAAAUUAGGGCUUUGCUAAGGUACACCUCUUAACCUCCAAAGAGGUACGAUGGGCCUUUUCAUUUUGUAAAUAGAAAAACAUCAAUUAGAAAAUAAAUCGGUGACGUGCAAGAGAUCCUCCUCAAAUCAUGGGUUUUCCAAACAAACUGCAUGCGAGCAUGCACGCCGUCAUUUUUAUUCUUUUGAAGUUUAUGCAUGCCGGCGCCGUUAUCAUGGAGAGAUACGGUUUGAGGGAUUUUUUUGUCCGUCAUUUUUUUUCUUUUGAAGAAGUCCAUGCAUGCAAUUGUUAAAAUGCGAUCUCUGGCCCUUCACUGAGUCAUGAAUAUUUUUUACGCAUGCAACUAUCACUUUGAUGAAAGAUCAUGUUACAGAAUUGCAUGCGGUGUGCACCAUGUCACGUAUUAACCCAUCACCAUGUCACCAUAAUUUCAGGUGAAAAACACGUUACAAAAUCUCAGGGAUUUGCACCAUGUCACGUUAACAAAAGCGGCAUAUAUAUGAAAUUUGUUAGAUCUGCUUUAACGUGAAACUACCGUGAUAGGUUGGAUCCUUUGCAUCUAUAACAGCAUCAGAUCUAAUUGAAGAAAGAUAUUUUGCAUUUUUUAUCAUAUUUUCUAAAUUAAAAAUUAUACAAAUAUAUAUUUCUUCUAUUACCUCCUAGGAAGUAAUAGUUAUCCAAAUCUAACCAAAUGGACAGUCCACGUUCAUUUGGGAGUACCUUAGCAAAACCAAAUAAAUUAUACUGUUCUUUCUAAAUGUAGUAUUUAAACUGUACUCUUAAGCACAUAAGACUUAGAAUCUGGAUUAACUUUGCUUUUAAGAACAUAAUUUUAAAACCUAUCAAUAUGUUCUGCUUGAGCUUUCGGAGAACAAAGGUGGGAUCUCAAAAGCUGACCGCUAUCAUUUUUACCGCGAGCUGCUGGUACUUAACUACCAACUGACACUAUAAAAGUAUGAAAAUUGAAUAUGAGCUUUGUUACAAUGCUUUUAAAGUACUAGUGAUACUUGCAGGUACUUUCCCUUCUUAUCCUUCUUACCAAAAAAUAAUUAAAUAGAUUUAUACAUAAUUAAAAAGGUCAUUAUAGUAAUUUCUCACUAUUUUUUGACUUGGUCCUACCAAAUUGGUACUUCUUGAUACUUCUCUUUUGGUGCUUCAUGGUACUUCCUUUGUUUCCACCGUCCGAUUUCGCCGGAUGGACGGCUCUCAUUUUUUUCAAGCACUCAUUUUUUAGUUAUCAAUAUAUAUGAGAAAGAGCUUUUGCAAAUGUAAUGAUAUGGGAAUGUAAAAUUUGCCAUGUCAAAUGGGACUAUGAUGCCAAAGUUUAAAUAUUGUGUCAGAACUUCCCUUUAAACCUUAGAAGAUUUCAGUAACCCUAUUAUUCGUAUGUUCCAAAUAAGACUUAGUUGAGCAAUUUCUUUAGAAAAAUUCUAUUGCAUGUUCGGCUUCUAAAUCAAACUUUCCCUUCCUUCAGUGUUCAGACAUGCAUGCACCCCUGAAUCUCCUUCUCCUAUGUUAUGAUAGUACAAUAUAACUUUAAGACUAGCGAAAAAAUAAGCUACAUAGAUAACUGUUCAGAAAUCUCCAAACUCACAGUACAUCAGAGUUGUGAAUCUAGGAACAAAUCAGCCUUAUUUCAUUAAAGCUCCUCUUAGAGCUAUUUAAAUUGCAAGUGCCAACAUGGACACUGAUGAGCGUCGCAGUAGCUGGAGGAAGAUCAGUUCAAGCUUAUCAUCAUACUAAAAAGAGAGAUAAAUAUUUGUAUGAUGUUACAUAUACAUACCACAUAACUGAAUAUAUCCUGUGCCAGUCUACUCUACAGGUGGCGCGGCAAACGCCUGUGUUUCUAGCUUUGUCCGAAAUUUUGACCGAAUUUUGCCAAGGACAAAAAAGUGGAAAACGAAAUCGAGAACCCGGGAACCAGCUCACGCAUGGGUAUUGCAUCGAGUGGGCAAGAAUCAUACGUCAACCCCAAACAUCUCACGGAACGCCGGCAUCUUGUCCGAGGAGAGGACCACCGACGCUUGCACCGAGCCGGCCUCCCUGCCGGCGAGAAGGGAAAUCUCGCCGUCGUGGUUCAGGGAUGUCUUCUCCACCCUCACCGGCCUCCCGAACCCGAAAUCCACGGCGUACGCGGGGAACCGCGACGACCCCGCAAGAACGACCGUGCGGCCGGCCCGCCUGACAUCUCGUCGAACUUGGUGAUCCACCGGCUGCAGUCAGCGAGCGGGUCCCGCCUGACAUCCUCCACGGCUUCCCUGAUGGCCAAGAACGCCCGGGCAGGCCCGUCUGCCCCGGCGAGCUCCUCCCCGUUCAGCGAGAUCAUGCACGGGACGACGCAGUUGCCAGCGUAGUCGUCCGGCGCCAGCGGCGAGAUGAGGGCGCGACAGUCGGCGAGGAAGGCGGCGAACACCGGGGCGCCGUCGGUGAACCCGCUGGCGCGCGCGAGGGAAACCCACCCGUGCGCUGCCAGCGCGGCGAAAGUUGAUGGCGGCGUCCUAACGCCUGUGGCGGCGGCGAGACGCUGCUUUAGGCGACGCACCGUGGAUGCCGGUAAAAUGAACGUGCGCCAUUAGCAAAUAUUUACUGUAGCAACACAUUAUCAAAUUACGGACUAAUUAGAUUUAAUAGAUUCGUCUCGCUAUUUAGCCUCCACUUAUGUAAUAGGUUUUGUAAAUAGUCUACGUUUAGUACUCCUAAUUAGUAUCUAAAUAUUUCAUGUGACGGGUGCUAAAAAUAAGCAAAUGUAAUCAAAUGGGACCUCAAUCUGUCCGAAGUCCCACCCCUACCUUUGAUACAGAGAGUCAUCGGAGCCAAGAGGGAAUAUACUGAAUGCUAAUUAAUACAGUAUGAGAUUGAACAUUAAAGGAAAGAAAGACAUUGAUUGGAUGCAGCUACAGACAACUCAUUGAUUGGAAGCAGCUACAGAUCACAACUCACCGACGAAUAUACUUUAUCUUUUUACUUAUUUCAUUGAUGCAUAAUAGAGCUAAUGUAUGUUUAAUUUAUAGAACUGCAGAAAAUCGAAGCAGUUUCAGCAACUCACCUUGGGCAAAUGGCUAACUCUGGGCAAGUCCGGCGUAACCUGCCGCAAGAACACGCCGGCCACCUCCUCGUCGCCGUCGAAGCUCACCAGGCUGCGGUCCUGAAGCGGCGGUGCCGGAUUCCCGGUAACACGGCCCUGGUGAACCCCCGCUGCUGCUGCCGCCGCCGCCGCAGCCCACAUCUCUAUGAACCGCCACAACCCACGCCCGUCCACCGCAGCGUGAUGCACCGCCAGCCCCACCGCCACGCACCCGUCGCCGCCGACGAACUCCGUCACCUGCACGCGCACACGUUUUCACCGUUACGUGACAUCCCGGCCGGGGCCUACGUACUACGUAUAGUAUGUAGCGCGUACCUGCACUGCCAUCACCGGCGCUGGUAGCUCGUCCCGGCGGAUGUCCGGCACUAGCUGCCGGAGUGCGUCAACGUCCUGCUCGUACUCGGCACCCUCCACGACGAGCCUCGCGAACGCGAGAUCCGUCUCGGCCUCGACGAACGCGACGCGGGCAUCGUCGCCGAGGACGAUGGACACGGUGCGCGAGUCCGGCGAGUAGGCGACCUCGCCGGCAAGGGGGUGGAACGCCUGGAGGACCGCCGCCAGCGAGGACCUGAGCGCGCGCGCUAUGUCCUGGGAAGGACGAGGUGGCGACGGUGCGGGGAAGAGGAAGACGUGGCAGACGGGCGGGAGCGCCGCCCAGUGCGCGUCGAAGGAGGAGAGCGGCACGCGGCGGCCCGGAGCCGGCAGCGGCACGCAGUCGGAGGGGAGGGAGAUGGUGGUGGCGAGCCUCGUUCGCACGGCCGGCGGCAUGCUGAGCACGUUAGGCUCCAACGCCGGGAUGGCACGACAAGACUGGAAAGCAGAGAGGUCGCAGUGUCCGAUAUGCGUGGAGCAUUGUAUGAAUCGCGAAUCGGCAGGGUGUGGACCAUGACACUACGUGGUUAUUUUUUCGAGAGGAAAAAACCAAGGAAAAUAUAUUUGCUCUCGGGAUCCUGGCACUCAACUUCUAGGGUUUGGCAAGGAUAUGGGCAUGGGCGGCCUUGAAGAAGUAUCCGCUGACAAGAUAGUGAUCACCGACUCAUCGUGACCCAUCUACCACUCUUCCCUGGCUCGGAUUUCUGAUUCUAUGAACAACGCGCAGCGCAAAACACACAUCAGGAACAUGUUUCCUUCUCAGAGUAAUUCGUCCGUGCUUGGAUUUGAUGUAGAAAUGCCGCAGUGACUUGCCCAAGCGUACAGUGACUUCUUAUUUUUGUUGGCUCAAUAAUGACUUUUUUUUUUG
rnacentral:lncRNA from 1 species